GUUGAGCUGUUAUGCCGAAAAAUAACUUGGGCAGUGAUUAGAAAGAGAGAGGCUUGAGUGGGAACCCUAAUUCCAUUAUUGAAGAAGGUGCCGCCAUCUCCUUGCUUCAAAGGUUUCGGCUUUGGUAUCUCAUCUUCACAAAUUGAAUUUGGUUUUCCUCAGUGACGGCUUUCAAAAUUUACACUUGAUAUGAGCCCUUUUCUUUCUUCCUUUCUUUUUUUACUCUCUCCUUCCCCCAUUAUUAUUUUUUUCUGUAAAUCUAUUUUAUUUUUUUACUUUAAUCAACAUUUGCAUUCAAUAUUUUUCAUUUAACCAGAUUCUGUUCUUCUGUUCUUCUUUUAGGUCUGAAUAUUAAAGGUAUUGAAGUUUUGUUUUGUUUUUCUUUUAAGAUUUUUUUAUUGUCUUUGAAGUUCCUUUAUUUCGUCUUUAAAGCUCAUUUUCUGUGUGUUUGAAAAUUUUAAUUGCAUUCAAGUUUUGCCUUUUUCUUCAGUAAAAUUUGUGUUUCAGAAGAUUUUUCUCCUUCAUUCACACUAAAUAUAGACUCUUCUUUUAUCUAAACAGCUUUUUCGUUCAUUUUUUUGUUCUUUUAAUUAACAUUUCUUCAAUUCUUAAACAUCUUUUUGUCUAUUUUUGUAGAUUUUGUUUGAUGCGAACCAUUAUUUCCUAUAUGUUUAAUAUCUUAUUUAUUUUAGUAAAUUAGGUUUAAUUUUGUCUUUUUGUCAUCUAAGUUCUUAUGGAAGAUAAAUCAGUCUAUAUAAGGUGUCGAGUUAGCACUGAGUGUCAGCAGCAUAACUCAAAUCAUUGUAAAAUAUUUAAUUUAAUUUCAAAUUUUGUUAUUUUGUUUUUAAUUUUAGAUACAAAUUAUAUCACUAUUUUUAAAAUUAAAAGAAAAUUCAUCAUUAUUUUUAAAAUUAAAAAAAAAUCAUAAUUAUUUUUAAAAUUAGAAGACAAAUCAUCAUUAUUUUUAAAAUUAGAAUUAAAAUCAUUAUUAUUUUUAAAAUUAUAAGAAAAAUUCAAAAAUUAGAAGGAAAGUUUUAAUUUAUUUUUAAAAUUAAAAGUAAAAUUCUAAUUUAUUUUUAAAAUUAAAAAGAAAAUUCUUUAUUAAUUUUAAAAUUAGAAGAAUUUUUUUCAUUAUUUUUAAAUCAACUUUAACUCUAUUUUUUACUAAUAAAAAUUUAAACAUAAAUAUAAUAAUUAUAUUCCAAUAAUAUAAUUAGAAUUAAUUUAAAAAUAAUUAAAUAAAUAUUUAAUAAAAUUUAAAUUUGGUUUCAAUUUAAAAAGAUAUACAAUUGAGACUAAAUUGAUUAAAAUUAACAAAAAUUGAGAUUAAAUUAAAUAAAAUUAAUGAAAAUUAAAAUUGAAUGACAUAUUUAUACGUGGUAUUGACAUGUGACAUUAACACAUGGUAUAAAGAAGCCUUACAUCCGAACCCCCAACACGUGAGAGCUCUAGUACCAUCGUUUCUCGGUGUAAGGAAGUCGCAUUCCCCCAUAGAAGCCUUUUCCUAAUCUAAAAUCCUACUUUUGGGUGGGGAAGGGGUUGCCAUGUGGCAGUCCCUAAUUGACUGAUUUUAUCUGAUAAAAUAACCAAAUUCUGGUCAACUAAGGAACUAAAUUACAAUUAGAAAAAAAAAGAAAUUAAGGGAACUUUUAGGAGCUUUUAUGUAAUUUUGAAAACUUAAGAAGGACAUUAAUGAAAUAGAUAAUUCAGUUGAUAUUUUUAAGAUAAUUAAUUUAAUAUGAAAAUAUACCAACAGAAAAUGUCUUAUCAACAUAAUACUUAGAGUCCAAGUCCAAUAAAGUUUAUAUAAAGAGACUUAGGGGAGGAAGAAAUCAUAACUCAUUCAUUCACUCAGACUCUUCCAAUGGAAGCCAUCAUUCACCACUCCUCUCACUUUUAUUUUAUCAUGUAUUAUACUCCAUUCAUGGAGGGCUAAGCUUUUAAGGCUACUCCAUUGUAAUUUCAUUAUGGAUUCCGAGGUUAAGUUGAAUUAAUGAAUUUGUUUCUUAUGAUUAUUGAUUUUAGUUAUUCUUCUUCUAUGUCUUUCAUCUCUCAAUAAUGUUAAAAGUAAUUAUUUUUGCAUCAUAAGGUGUUUGAAUCUACAUGCAUGUUAAUCAUAUGAGUUCAAGGUUUUCUAUGUUUUAAUGAUAAUUUACUUUGAUUGAGUUUAGGAACCUUCAUAUGAUUAAACGUGUUCUUACUACUAAUUAAUAAUGUACUUUGAUUGGUGGUAAGAUUUUCAACUGUAAUUAAUUGAGAAUUUACUUUGAUUAAAUAUAUUUUAAUUUGGUCAAGGGAUAUAAGAAUAGACAUGAUUAAAUACAAUAGGAUUUGACUGAGAAUGUAUUUUGAUUGAAUUCAUUGUGAAUAAUAUAGGAAGGUCUUACAUUUGAUUGAGAAUCUACUUUGGUUAAUUGUAUGAUCGCCCUCAAGUGAGAAUAUACUUUAAUUAAUUUGAAACUCAAACAAUAAUCAAUUGAACAAUGAUUUGUGGAUAAUCGAUGAUGAAUCUAUCUUGGAAAAAUAGUGGAAUUAGUCUAUUUUAUUAUAGUUGCUUCAAAGUUUCUCAUUUGUUCUUCACUUAAACUCACAACAUUCUUGAACAUCAAGUUCAUUAGGCUAUAUUUUCAUUCUUAUUUUUAAGCAUUGCAUAGCAUUCACUAACUUUUUCAAAGCCUUCGUAAGAGUCAAAUAUUGAAAAGCAAUUACGUGUUCGUUGGGAAACGACUUAGGGUUACUUUAACCCUAUCCACUUUCUUGAUUACUAACAUGGCAAUACUGAAGUUACCGUGUAAAGUAGUUGUUAGAAGUGGACUUUAAGCCUAACCCAACCUCACAAACCAAUUUGUAAGGUGAGGUUUGCACCCACUUAUAUGCUAUGAAUUGGCCUUAUCUCUAGUCGAUGUGAGACUUCUAACACACCCCCUUCACAUCGAGGUAUAUACAUCUCAAGCGUGGGACUAGACAUUAAUGGGUGGUCCAAUAACGGCCCGAUAGCGGGUGGAACAAUAUGCCUAACAAACAACAAAUAUCGCUAGGAUAGGCUUUAACGACGACUCUGAUACCAUGUUAGAAGUGGACUUUAAGCCUUACUCAACCACACAAAACCAGCUUGUAAGGUGGGGUUUACACCCACUUAUAUAUUAUGAACUGACCUUAUCUCUAUUCGAUGUGGGACUUCCAACAAUAGUAUUAAUUUGGUAGCUUCAACAACAGCGUAUACUCUCUUGCUCAGUUAACGACGGGCUGACACCUAAAACAUCCUCUGCUCACACUAAACGAUGAUGAUUGCCAAAGAGAUUAUAGCACAAAGAGGCAUACAACACAAAAGUAAGGGUAAACUAGUAUACAAAUAAAUCAACAUAUUACAAUUUGAUAUGGGAAAUCAUAUCUCAACAUUCACAACAACUCAUCACACACUUAAUCAUAUCACAACUUAACUAAGGAUGACAACGGGUCGGGUCAGGCACGGAUAAUGCCUACCUGCAACCCGACCCGCUACUCGCACAGAUACCCGUAAAAAAUAUCCGCGGGUAUUUUAAAAUUCACGGAUACCCGCGGAUAUUCGUGAAUACCCGCAAAUAUUAAAAAAAAAUAUUUGUUUAUAAGUUAUUAAAAUAAAAUUUAAAUAGAAUUAUAAAAAAUAUAUAAAAUAUAAUAUAAAUAAUAUUAAAUAUAAAUUAAAUUCAAUUUUAAUUAAAUUUAACCUUGUAAAAUAUAAAUUAAUGUUAAUUUUAAUUAAAUUUAACUUAAUAAAAUAUAAAUUAAAUCUUUAUUUUUAUUUUUUGCGGGUAGCGGAUAUCUCGGGUACGAAUAGCAUAAUACACACCCGACCCGUUUAUAAGCAAGUAUUAAAAUAUCCGCUACCCACAGGUUGCGGGUAGUAAAUAUCCAUGGGUAUCAACUAUCCGUCGCAGAUUUUAUCUGCGGAUAUCAACGAGUGCAGAUUUUUUUGCACCCAUGCUAGUAUUUAUACUCUGUAGAGUCAUAAAUGAGGGUCAAAUGACCUACUUCCCCAUGAGUUUAGUCUUCCCUUACACGACAAAGGGCUAGGGUAAAAACCUCCUAUCAUUUUCUCCAUCACCCCAUUCACUCUACAUGAGUUGAAUGAUUAGUAGAAUAUCAGGAUAUUUUCUCUUCAAAGUCUCACUAUUAAGCAGUCACCACAACUCUCAUAUAAUCAUUCCUUAAGAUUCCUCUCACAUCACCCAUCUAUCAUUCUCACAACAUACUCAUCAUCAUCAUAUUCAUCAACCAUAAACAUACCCAUAAACAGGUUCACAAAUCAUAAAUAUAUGUAUACACAUCUCCAUUAAUCACCUCAUAAUCAUCAUCAUUAUCAUCACAUACUCAAGGUGUUCCAAGUAUAAAAUCAUUUAUAAAAAUUUGGAAAUAAUAAUUACACAAUAGUACAUUUUUCUUCAUGGUAGCUUGAGUCCCACACUAGACAUGAAAAAUAGCCUUAAAACCCUCACCAAAAGCUCUGGAAGGGUCUAAAACCCCCAAAACGACCUAAAGAACGUCCAAAACGAAUGUCUGAAACCCUAAAUUCGAGAUUCCCCACAACAUAGUUUCUGUUAGACAACUCCGCACCAGACUACUUACUAGUCAAUCUUUUACCAGAUGACCCCUUAUUAGACGAUCUCUUACCAGACUACUCCUUGCUAAACGAUCUCUUACCAGACGACUCCUUAUUAGACGACUCUUACCAAUACGAUCUCUUACUAGACGACCCCUUACUAGAUGCUCUCUUACCCAGACAAUCUACCAUAUUUUUGUACAAUAAAAGACCAAAUAGGCGCUAAAUGAGCCCAAGACAAUUCCAAAAACUGUAAACUUCCCCUUAAACCAUGAUCUCAUAUUCUUACUUGUUAAAAACUCAAUUUUUUUGUCCAAAACUCACCCUUUUACUACUUUAUUUCUUACCCAAGUUCUGUAAAAACAUAUCAGCUCAAACUCACUAAAUCCACAUUCACAAAUCCAUCAAUAAACAAAUUUUAACAACAAUAAACCAAACACCCCAACAUACAUUAGUUCUCAAUUUAAUUAAACCCUAAACCCUAAACCCAACAUACCAAAUUUCACGAUUUAAUUAAAGUUCAUAAAUCAAUCAUCACAUCAUCAUACAAACAUCAAAUAUCACAUGCAUAACAAAUCCAAAACCAAACAAACUAGCUUCCCUUAUAUAGUUGAUGCUUUGAUAGUUUCAAGAACUCUAAAAUUUCUCCUACGACUUCAAUAUCUAUAUUUGCCCCUACAAUUCAUGGCAAUUUGAUCAAAGUAUACCCUUAAUAACACUAAUCAACAAAGAGUCUUGAAGAAGACUUAGACAUAAAAAAAGUAAAGAAAACCCCUACACGCAAAGACAUCAAACUUUAAAGAAAAAGGUAGAAAUCGACUUACUUUAUAGUUGAAAUCAAUUGGCUAGACAUGAAGAUCUCGUCUAAAUGAACCCUCAAGCGGUCCUUAAUCUUUCCAUAAAUGGAUAGAGAAUUAGGAUUUCUAGAAAGAAAACAAAAAAAAUUUAAAGAAAGAAGUUUUUAAAGAAAUAAAGUUUCUUAAAUAACGAAACUCUAAGAUAAAAAAUUUAUUUAUACUUUCAAUAUUUUUGAAAUAAAAUAAUAGAAUAUCAUUAUUUAAAACAACGUACCACGUUUAAUACAAAAUUUUUGAGGAUCUUACAAUUAUAUAGAAUAUUUUUAUAAAUAUAAAAAUAAUUAAAUACAUUAUUGUCAAAAAAAUAAUCAAAAUAUUAUCAUUUAAAUUUUUAAAAUGAUAUAAUUAUAUUAUUACAACAUCAAAUUAAUAUAAUAAAUAAAUAUAUUUUUAAACAUCCAUUGCACGAGUACAGUUCGUAGUUAUUUAUGGUUUGGUAGUUCUUUUAUAAAUAAUAAAAUAAAUAAUACGAGCUAUGUUAUAAUAGAAAAACAGGUAAUACUGUAUAUACUAAAAUAAUGAAAAAAAAUUUAAAAAUUAAACAUUAUAAUAGUUAUUACAAAAUAUUAGUAAGAUUUUUAUAUAUAAAAAGCAUUUCCUAUAUAGAAUGUGUCACAAACGAUAUCAUCAACAGUUAUAUUUACAAUAAUAAAAUAUAAAAAUACAAAAUUUAAAACAAUAUUAUAAUAAUUACUAAAAUAAAAAAGAUUAGCCAAAUUUAUAGUAAAAUAAUAAAUUCAAUAAAGAAAAGCAUAAUUAAUUACAAAAUAUAUAUACUAAAGAAGAUAUACAUAGAAGAAAUUAUUUUUUUAUGUCUACAUUAAUUUUUUGAUUUUUUUUAAAUGAAAUUAAUAAUUUUAUAAAUAUUAUCAUUUAGGUGUUUGUUUAUUUAAAUUUAAUUAUUAUAUUUAUUUAAUUAUUUUUCUAAACUUAAUUAUUUUUUUAAUUAAAAAAUUGUCUACAAAGUAAAUAAAAACUACUCAGAUUAAAAUUACAAAAAUUAUUUGUAAUUAAUUUUAUAAUAAUAAUAAAAAUUUUAUUACUUUUAAUUAUCAUAAAAAAAUAAAUAUAUAUUUCAUUAUAAAUGUUAAAAUGUUAAUCAGAUUAAAAAUGAUUUACUCACAUUGUUUAAAUAAGUCCGACAAAUAAGAAGUGUAUUCCCUUCCCACUUCCGGGUCACCAAGUAACACCGUUAGGGUAGAAAGUUGAAGUCCUUGCAGUUCAGGCCUCAGACCCAAAACCCUCAUAAAAACCCAACUCUCCUUCCUUUUAGUUCCUCUGUUGGUUUCUCACUCUUCCGUGUGGUAGUAGUGUGGCAAACAAUGAGCAGUUGGAAAAACCUUCUUCUACGAAUCGGUGACAAGAGUCCCGAAUACGGAGUCUCCUCUGACUAUAAAGAUCACAUUGUAGUUUUCUCUUCUUUGUUUUUCUCUUCGCCGCGAAACUGGUUGAUGUCUAAUCUUUCUUUUUGCUUUUGAUUUCUUAGGAUACGUGCUUUGGCGCCCUUCGUCGCGAACUUGACCACUCCCAUACCGAUGUUUUGGAGGUAAACUCUGAUUCUUCUCGUUCGCAUUUUGGUCGUGUUUUGUAUAGUUAGGUCAAUUGAUUUAUCGGUUGAGUAAUUGAAUUGUUUCGAUUCGCUUCUUGAGAGUUUUGAGGCUUGUACUUGUUUUGAGGCUUGUACUUGUAGCUUCGAUAGUGGACUAAUUCGUGAUAUGCUAUAUUAUGUUGUACGAAGUAGUUGUGAAUCAAUUUUCGUUCUUAAUUGUAGGGCCAUCAAUGUGGAACACACAUGUUUGAGGAGGAUGUUGAUAUUGCUUGUUUUAAUGCUAGUUAUACUUUAUUUUGACCUUUUUAGCUUGUUGCUUGCCAGUGGUUUUCUUCAGAAAAGAGCGCAAUAUGCUUCAGAAAUCUUAAACAUUUAAAGUAGAUUGGAAUCUAUAACCUUGUAAUUAUAUUAGAAGCGUGUUAUCUGGACCUGUUAGUUGCUUCGUUGCAUUUUCUUUACAUGUUUUAAAAUGUUAUACCUUUUAUGUUGCUUUCUUAUUUAAAUAUUCUAGCAUGUGUGAUUUUGUGAGUUGUGCAGUAUUUGUACAUGUCUCUUUCUGUAUCGUAAUGCCUUGCAUGAUAUCACAUCAGAUUUACUUUAUUGGAUUUGUUUGUGCAGUUCCUUCUCACGUGUGCUGAGCAUUUGCCUCACAAGAUUCCUCUGUAUGGAACCCUGGUAGAGAUUUCUUUUCUCUUGAACUGUAAUGACAUCUGUUAUUUUAUUCCCUGCAUGUUGCAAUAUCUUACUGCGGAUGUGCAUGCACGAAUGUCAUGUAUAUAUAAAGUCUUCUUCUUCUCAUCAGCAUUAUUAUUGUUAUUAUUGUUACUUUUGGGAGUGUGUAUAUAUGUGUUCCAUUUUUAGAGGUAGCUUUAUUUAGUGAACGCUAAUGAUAUCAAUAUUGGGAUGUUGGUGGACUUAAUUUGUUAUUGUCGUGGUUGUGCAACUGGAAGUUCUACUGAAUAUUUUGACCUAUUUGCACAGAACUUCUAGUUAUUAAUAAUGACAUGAUAAUGUAUCUGAUCUUUAAUUUUUAAAAUGUUUUCUUGUUUCCAUUUUAUAAAAAGACUUAACAUUCUUUUUGGCUUUGGAAUUAACAUUUUUGUUAAAUGCAUUUGGAAAACAUGUUUUUUAGUGAGCAAUGGUAUGAUUUUAACAUCAUGAUGACAAUAAUGUUCAUAGAAGGUUUAUACUUGACGUGCUUUUCAAGAAUGAAAUGUAUGUAACCAGCAAAAUUUGGGUGAAAACUAGAUACUUAAAUAAUAAAAGAAGCAUUGUAAUUAACCUAGUCUAACACCUCCACUCUUUUAUGCUGUUACAUUAUUCAGUUAUUAAUUUAUUUGCUGUAUUUUACAUUGAAUGUGAAUUAGGUGUAUUACUGUGCUAUAGUUGUCUUGCUUGUAUAGUUCCAAUUGAAGUUUCUGAGCAUUCUGUUUCUCCAUGAAUGAUUUCAUUGCAGAUUGGCUUGAUUAACUUGGAAAAUGAGGACUUUGGGAAGCAACUAGUGGAGAAAACUAAAACCAUGUUUCAAGUAAGCUAUUAAGCCACUGAAACUUCUAGGUUGGUUUAUGGGUGUUGUAUUUUCAUUGUCUUUAUUCCUUUAAUUAGCUGAAUGUUCAGUUAAGGGUAUUAGUACUAUUUUCAUUUAACUAAGCUGUCUAUAAUUAAUUGAGUAUUGAUUAGGAAUUCUAAAAUCUAAUGGUGUAAAUUAGAAUGUGAAAGUUUAUGUAAUUAGUUUUCACAGCAAUGUUGACUGCUUGCUAUAUAUAAUUAUUAUCAGGUAUUUGGAUCUGAAACUAGGAACUUUUUCCUAUAGAAAUUCAAAUUGAGUUUCAUGUAUGUGGAUGCUUGAUUAGAAAAAAAGAAGCGAAACUAUUAUUUUAGAUGGAAGCAUCAUUAUCUCUGUUAAAUCUUGCAUUAUCAAAGCUGGCCAUUUUGGAAUGACAUGGAAAGUUUAAUGCUUCUUUCCAUAGAAUUAUCUAGGUUUAGGAAUGGAUGGCCUUGUUCCUAACCAAUGAACUUGUGAUUUUUUGGAAUGUAUACUUUGGCCAUGUUUGAUAUAAAAUAGUUUAAUCCCUCCAAAAAGACUAUCAAAAUAGUUUGAUAUUGAGGUUCAAAAUAUUGGAAUGUUAGUAAGAAAAAAAAGUUAUUGGUAUUAGACCAAGGUCACAAGUUCAAUUUCCAACAAGACAAUUGUCGAAGAAGAGAUUGUUGUGGAUUGCAUCAAAUGUCACAUAGUGGAGACUAGAUAUGCCAAGGCUUCGAUGGGGGCAUUGUUAUAAGCUACAUCAAUUGUCCUAUAGUAAAGGUCAAGUGAAUUAAGUCACAAUUGAAUCAUGGUGCUUGAGUUCUUAUGCUUUUAAAUAUCAAGAGUUGCAUCUUGAUUAUAAACUAUAACUUUUAACCUAGUUAUAUGUCCUCGAUCCAACAACAAUAAAGUAGGUUCCCAACUCCAUCAAGCUUUAACUUUCAAAAUAGAACUGGAAGAGUACUUACUGAUAAUAAAAAACGUACAAAUAUGAGGAUUGAACUGGAAAAAGAAUAAAUAAAAAAGGAGUUAAUUUUUGGUUGAAAAUACUAGUUUCUUUAUAUUUGUUGGUGUCGAUUAUUAAAAUUUUCUAUCUUCUUUCUAUAAAUGUGUUCAUUAUAGUUUUUUUUGUUUUGAUUCUUUUUUUCUUUAGUGUGUCUUUCAACUGGCUUUGGCUUCUAGACCACUUGUCGUAAAACUGGUGCUUUUUUCGCCUGCUUCCACUAACUGAUAAAUGAAAACAGUUUUGUGAAUAAUAUUUUCAUCUUGAAUUUUUCUUAUGAUAAUUGCUUACAUUAAAGUGCAUAUAACAUAAGAAACCAUCGGUUUAACCUUCACCAUAGUGGGAUGAAUGACAUGGCCAUUUUGUGUCUGUUGCAAUCAUUUAAACCAGAUUGAAAUAUUAAAUUUUUGGUUAAACAUCUUUCUGCUUGAUUUUUAUAAACAAAAAAUUGACAAUUAUUUUUAUUGGGUAAGGCUUGUUUGAUUUAAUGCAAGGUAUGGUUCUUACCAACGGUUUUUCAGUACACAUUCAUUUUCAAUUUGUUUUGUUCACCCAAAAUAAUGCCAUUAUAUACUUCUCUAAUCUGCUGCAAUGUUUUUGAAUCUAAGAACUUAUUGAAUUGAUCUUUUAGUGCUUCUGUCCUGACUCCCUUUAAUUUAUUCCCUAUAAUAUUGCUUUUGUGCAUUUCUCAUUUAUUAUAUUUUUAAUUCAGGAUGCCUUGGAUACUGGAAACUGCAAUGGGGUUCGAGUUCUAAUGCGGCUUUUGACUGUUAUGGUAUGUAUUGGCACUGUUUUUAUGCAUAAAAAUUGUGUAGCAUUAUUGACAUUCAACUCUCAGACUGAAAUAUUGUUAUUAUUGGAAUUUUGAGGAAGAUAAGAAAUCCUUCUAGUUUUCACUUAUUCUACAUUUAUGAGUAAUUUGUGUUUGAGCAUGUCUUGUUUUUUUGCCUAAAAUAUUGUAUAGUUAGCUUGUAAUUGUUGAAUAUAGUAAAACUAUGUAUGAGAUUAAUCUCUCUUAUGUUGAAUAUACACAUAAGGUAUUCUAUUUAUAAUAAAAGAAAAAUGAACUAAGUCCAAAAUACAAAUAAGAAAUAAUAACAAACUAACUAAAGAUAAAAGAUAAAAAUAAGAUAACUCUCUAGGAUAUCUGACAAUAUAAUUAAUCUAAUACUCCCUCUCAAGCAACUGCAUAUGAAUCAUAUGUACCAAGCUUGUUACUAAUAUAAUCAAUGAAAACUAAGUGAAAAUAUCUGUUUUUGCACUCGAGUAAUACCAAAUUGUUAAUGAUUUACAAAGACAACAUAAAAGACAAAAUACCAACCUAGUCUCCCUCUGAACAACAAAUUUGAGAGGUUGUUCUAUAUAAAUCUCUUCUUGCAAAUCAUCAUUGAAGAAUGCAUUGCUGACAUCUAAUGGAUAAAGUGGCCAUUAUUGAAGAGCCAUCAUGGCUAUAAAUAAACUAACAAAAGUCAUCUUUGCCAUUAGAGAAAAAGCAUAUAUAUAUGAGUCCAAUGCACUAGUGACAGAAGAGAGGUCAAAAGAGACAACAGAAGAAGUCAUGGAAGAAUAGGAGAGAGAAAAACCGGAAAAAUCCAAGAUUCUACUAUCAACGCACUUGAAAGAGGAAAAGAGUAAUCUUGACCCUUUGAAUAGCUGCUUGAGAAGAGACGGGACAUGCGACUACGCACAAUGGAUCUGAAAGAGGAAAAAAGAGCAACUUUUACGCUUUGAAUCGUUGUCUGAGAGGAGACGGGAUGUGCCUCCACACACGAAGAAAAGGGAGCAUAUCUACACUUCAAAAGACAUUGAGAACAAAUGUACAACAUAUAGGGCAUGCUUGUUACAAAUUGUAAUUUUUAAAUGACGUUUCCAUAAAAGAAGCUAAUUAAGAUCCUGUUCCCUACUGUAUUUUACAUGUACAACUUAUAGAGCAUGUUUCUUACUGACUGAAAUGUGCAAAAGAAGGCUGUUUCCAUAAAAAGAGCUGAUUAGAAAAACCUUUCUGCUCUUUUGUAUUAAACUAUUAUUGGUGAAAAUCAUUUUAUAAGGUUGGGUUACAUAUAUUGCAAAGGAAAAAGUUGUAUUUAGAUAACCACAAAUUUGGAGUUUAUGAUGGAAAGUUAACUUAUUUUCGAUAAUUAACUAUUUUCAAUGCAAGGCAAAUUACUACACUAACUCCAUACUUUUUUUUUGUAAUUUUACUAUAAAAAAGAAAAUACUUUGUACAAUCCAAAUAGAAUAUAUUAUCUUGUAAAUAAAACUUAUUCCUUAUAGUUGCUUAUAAAGAUAUAAUUGAUUGUUCAAAUAAGUUCUUUCCCUUAGCUAAUGCAGACACCCUUGUUUAUUUUUUCCUACCCUUUUGAUUUCUAAAUAUGAUCACAUUUUAUCUUUGUAUUCAUGUUGUUUGUUCAUGUGAUGUAUUUGUGUAACUGAAUGAAUUUUUUUUUGCAUGUUGCUUUCUUGUAAAUUCUUUAGAUGUGCAGUAAGGUUCUUCAACCGAGCUCCUUGGUGGCUGUCUUUGAAACAUUUUUAUCCUCAGCUGCCACAACAGUAGAUGAGGAAAAAGGCAAUCCCUUAUGGCAGCCUUGUGCAGACUUUUACAUCACUUGUAUUUUAUCAUGCCUUCCAUGGGGCGGAGCAGAACUUACUGAGGUAAUUAUUUGAUGCUUUUAAUUACAAGUGUGGUUAAUUUUUCAACUUUAUAUUAGCAGUCUACGUCAGUUCUUGUAAUUUAAAAUGUUCCUUUGCUUGUAUUCCAAUCGUUUCUCUAUCUGAUUAUUAAAUUUAUAAAUUAUUUUUUAAUUCUUAUAUAUUAACUUAUUUUCAUCUUUCUUUGAUAUAUCACUUGUUUUUUAUAUUUAAUUUCUUAAAGUAAUAUGAGCUAUUAUAGAAUAAACUGUUUAAUUGCUUAUUCAAGAACAGCUGUAUUUUUUGUUUUUCAUAUCUAAACAAAAGACUGAUUUCAGUUAUUUAUCCAUUCUUCAGUUGGAGUUAUCUGUGUUUAAAUAUAGAUGUUGUCUGUGAGCAGAAAGUCGCUGUAUCUCUUCCAUUUGUGGGUGUGUAUUAGUUGGUAGCAUUGGUAAAUAGUGAAAUAGCAGUUAAGUUGUGUGCUGUUCAUAUUAUGGCAACAAUGAGUAAAUAAACAUUGCAAAAAAUGAUAGAACUGCUAUGCUAUCUGUUCUUGGUUGGUACUUCCUUUUUUGUUAAAAUAUAUUCAUGUAUGUUCAAGUUACACUUUUGAAAAUGUUUUCCCCCAUAGAAUCUCAAUUAUAAAUGGAAUGAUUGGAAAAGGGCCUUUUACUUAUGUUUGAUUUUUAGGAAGUAUUUGUAUGCUGAUUAGCAUCUUCAUUUAUUAGAAUUUUCCUUCUUUCUUUUAUGUAUUUCUAUUGUACUUUAAAUAGGAACCAACCCCUGACCUGUACGGUCUCAUACGUUAAAUGCAGAAUUCAUUCUCUUUCUACAAAUAUGGAUUUCUUUGAAUUCUUUUCCUUUUAACUGCAUGUCAUGUCUGCUAACAGCAAGUUCCUGAAGAUAUUGAUAGAGUGAUGGUCGGUGUAGAAGCUUACUUGAGCAUCAGAAAGCAUACAUCUGAUACUGGCUUAUCCUUUUUUGAGAAUGAUGAUGAAAAUGGGGAAGGUAUUAGUGACAAGGUUAGCUCCUUUUUGGCUAAUACUUAUGGUGGUGCAUUUGAUGAAGGAUGAACAGUGCUUUAGGAUUUUACCAUACUAUUAUAUAAUUGCCCAUGGUUUCAAACUUAUAAUUGUCUGACACAUGUUGGACACUUGUGUUAAAUUCAUUGAAAUCCUAAUGAAUCAUAUCAAAUUUUGUUGCAUGUUGAAAGGAAGCUCUCCUAGUGGGAUAAAGACUCGAUUUUUGUUGAUCAUGUCUCAUUUCUGUGCUUAAUAAAUUCCAAAAUUUAUGAAGGGUUAUUUCUUUAGUUAGUUGGUAAUAGACUUAAUGUAUUGGCAACUUAAAGCAUUUUUCUUGUAACUUAAAUAUUUUUUAUCUUGGUAUGUUUCUGUAUUUUUACUCCCUUUCAAUACUCGUUUAGAGGGUGGUUGAAAGUGAUUAUAUUUGUAACAUUUCAUUUUCACAUUGCAGGAUUUUUUAGAAGAUUUAUGGGAUAGAAUACAGGUUUUAUCAAUGAGGGGAUGGAAAGUUGAAAGUGGUAGUAUUCUCUUCUGUGUGGAAUGGUUUAUGCUACUAUACCUUUCUCUCAAAAAUUGAAAUCCUUUGCACUGUUUGUUGUUCACCCCUUUUUCUUUCUGUAGCUUUAGGGAAUUUUGUCUUAACAUUACUUGUUCUUGUUUUGUGGUUAUUUCUCUACAUAUUGAUGUUAAGUUUACAAAUAAUGUCUUAAAGUUAAACUUAAUCUUGUGUUUGGAAAAUAAUUUUUUAGAGGGUAAUUCAUUUUUAUAAACCAUUAAAAAUGCUUAAUGACAAAAUAUGUUGUUUAGAUAGAUAAUUUAAAAAGAAAGUUAAAUUUUCACAAAUUGUUUCAGUAUUUUGAUUUCUUAAAAUCUGUAGAAUUUAAAAUUUCAACUAAAAAACUAGGAAUUUGAAAUUCUUGACACGCUUAUCAUAAAAUUUCAAUUACACACACAUAUACACACACACAUAUGAUAUAGUAGAAAUUAAAUUACAGUAUUAAAACUAAAUGCUUGAAUUUAGAUCGAUUUAUCCAAAUAAUUCAAGUUUCAAGUUUUUUAAAUUCUUUGAAAUUUUAAAACUACUUAGAUUUGUUUUGAAGAAGUUGGAUUUGACUGUACAUUCUACUUAGUGCACCCCUUUUUACUUUCCUUAAACAUUUACUUUUGUGUUUUUAAUUGUUUGUCGUUGGGCCAUUUUAUUUUAUGCACCACACUGUGUACUAUCUUGCAGCCCCUUAUUUGUUUGUUUUUGUUGUUGUCUUUGCCGUUUGCACCUCUGUGCUUUACUAACUUGGACCACCAAUUUUCUAUUAAAUUUGUUUUGUUCUUGUUUAAUUUCAUAUUGUUGAAAUAAUUUUUAAUUUUACGUAGUAAUUACGUCUAAGAUAGGAGGUUGAGUGUUAGAUAACCUUUAUACCUAGUUCUCUGACCAAGUAGUAUAGGACAGUGCUUCUGAUAUUUCAUCUCCUUAUUGUAUAAUCCUUCAAAUAUAUAAAUAAAGAACCAUGAGAUGGAUUUUUCAAGCCCUUUAUAAAUAUAUUUCUUUGUUUUAAUCUCGAGUUGGUAAUAUAGCUGGUCAAUCCUACUUUGGUUACUGUCUCGUCUUAUUCAUUGACACUAGUCUUUGCUGUCCUCAAAUUUUUGAUGCCGUUUGCGAUUGUUUGAUGUCGUUUCGCUGCUGUCCACCUGUAUUUGAAGCUGUCCAAUGCAGUUUGAAACUAUCCAACACUGUCAACCAUUGUUCUCUGCGGUUUCAUCAUUGUGUGCUGCCUUCCGUCAUCGCAGUUUCGUCCAGUGACCAUAGGAUUUUGAUCGCCUCUCCACGCUAUAACCAACCCCGUUGGUGCUGAAGGCUAGUUGUCUUCCAUGCACUUCAUAUUUGUAACCUACGAAUAGGCGCAUGUUGUCCAAUGUGCUCAUCCGAACAACAUCUCGUCACCUCCAUAAUUGUCGCCAGACCCCCUUUUCUCUGUUCUGACCCUCAAUACUUAACUUUAAUUUUAGUGAAGUCCAAAAGCUACCCUCGUGGAAGUUACCUAGGGUUUUCUUUUUCCCUUACUAUUAUUGCAUCCCUUCAUUGUUUUUUUGUUCCUGAUCAAUGAUGAUGACUAGAAGUGUUAUUUGAUUCUCUAAAAGUCCCUCAAUUACUUUCGAGAAUCUAAAUGGGAAAAUUUAUCUAUCUUGGAUUGCUGCCAUCGAAAUGUGAUUUCUUGGCCAAGGGCAUCAUGACCACCUUGAGCAAGUUGGAAGCCAUGUGUCUGCUGAAAAAGCUAAACAAUGGAAACAAACAAAUUUUCAAUUAUGUGCCCUGUUGCGGCAAUUCGUGGAGCCAGGACUUCUUAUGUCUUGUAGAGCUUUUAAAACAUGUACUCCUUUUGGAAGAAAGCUCAAAGCAUCUAUGCCAACUAUAUUCAACAUACAACAAACAAGCUUGCAUCUCCCAAAAUGGCAAACCAUGAUAUGGUAUCCUUCAUGACUGAAGUCCAUUCAGUUAUGGAAGAACUGAGGAUAUUCUUGGAAGUCGAGUCUUUGAAGGAAAUCAAGAAGAAACUUAACAAAUAUUAUAUGGUGUUGAUCCUUUGUACUUUACAUCUAGACUUUGAUCAUAUCAGAGAUCAACUUCUAAUUAGUCAUGAGGUCCCUUCCUUAGAGACCUUGACCACACAACAUGCCUUCUUUGUGUCCCGGUGCCUCAAUCUCAUGAAGCUUAUGAACUAGUGGAAUCAUCUGUCAUGGUUGCCACACAAGGAAAAGAAGGAUUGGCACUAGAGGAGGAGGAUGUGGAGGCUGGGGGCGUCCCUAGUGCACAUAGAAGGAUGGGUCACAAGCAAGAAAUCUGCUACUCCUUGCAUGGUUUUCCUUCCAAAAUAGCCAAUAUCUCUAAAGCUAAAACUACCAACUUCAAGUUCAUUGAGGAUGAAUAUCAAAAGUAUCUAUGGCUGAAGUCUAACAACUUGGCACAAAGAUCUCAAUCUCUAAGUAAAUCAACAACUUGCAUUUCUCAAUCCAUGGAAGGUCAAAAUUCAUGGGUAAUUGACUCAAGUGCUUCUGAUCACAUCUUUGCUAAUACCUGUUUGACCUCUUUGAUCUCAACCAUUUUCUUUCAAGGAAAACCUCAUUUCAUAACCCUUGCAAAUGGUUCUAAAGCUUCCUCAAAGGGAGGCAGUCAAGUUUCCCUGUCUCCUUCCCUAAAUUUGAAGUUUGUCCUUUUUGUCCCUAAUUGGUUUUUCAAUUUAAUUUUCUUAAGCUAGUUAACCAAAAUGUUUAAUUGUUCAAUACUAAGAUGACUUUUCAAAUCUUAUGUUGUCUUUUCAAAUUAUAUAGAAGCUUAUGUUGUCUUUUCAAAUCUUUUAAUGAAUAAUUAAUUCGUUUGAUUUAUCUUUUUCAUUUCUUAUUGUUCUAUUUUUUCUUGUCCUUAACAUCAAUUUGUGUAUCUUUAUUUAAAUUUUCUUGUGUUUUAUUCCCUUUUUGAUUAUUUUCGGUUUCAAUUGGUAGUUCCAAGACCUCAUCUUUCAUUUGAAGCUCAAUUGGUUGCUGGGAAGUCUCAUGAAUUUGGGCCAAUAAGCUGCCCCAGCCUACCAGAACCACCUUCAGUCCCUUCUGGCGUCUCUACGGGUAAACAGAAGCAUGAAGCAGAAUUAAAAUAUCCUCAAAGGAUACACCGGUUAAAUAUAUUUCCUCUCAGUAAACAUGAGGUAAUUUGCGUGUCAACAUUUCCAUUCUUUUAAUCAAUUUUUAUGGAAAGUUCUUUUUGGUAUUUUUACCUUGUAAAUGGAAUUACAGUUAUUUGUAUCCAGCUCUGCGCUUUAUUAAUUUAGGCUUUUAUUUUCAAAACUGAAUUUUGUUUUGACAGUUUUCAAGCUAACCAAUGUAUUAAUUGCAGACAACGUCUGCAUCAUUCCUCUGUAUGCAGACAAUGUCAGUGGGUUAAACUGCAUAUUCUCCAAACAAUAUUUCUAAUGUUCUUCCUAAUAGAUUUCAGUCAGCAUCUAUGGUACAACUGCAUUUGUAAAACCAUUGAAAUCCUUAGUCAGGCAUUUUUUUAAUUAUGUGUCUUUAUAUUUUGAACGGAGAGAAGUCUUUCAUACAUUCAUUGCAAAUUAAUCUACCAUUACUGAAUUGUUAGUUUCAAUGAAGUGGUUGGUUUUGUUAUUUGAUGGCUAAGAUGGCGAUUUCAUGGUUGAACAGCCAAGAAAUCUGUUUUUUUUUUCCUUGUAUGUUGAGUUUCCUUGCACAAUAUCUUGUCUGCUAGUGCUUCUGUAUUUCUCUUUAAUAAAUCUUCUCUUAAAUUAAAUCUUUUCUUAAUAGCUUUCAAAAUCUUUUUGUUUGAGGAUCAAAGUGCUUUCUGCCUGAUGGUCUGCUUUUUAUAGCAUGUUAUGAUGUUCAUUUCGUGUGUUAUAGCUGUAGUUCUAGGUUCAGUAAUUUCAAUUUAAUACUUGUCAAUCAUAUAUGCGGGUUGAAUGAAAUAAUCUUUUGGAUGCAGGAUAUACAACCUAUAGACAGAUUUGUUAUGGAAGAGUAUCUCCUAGAUGUGCUUCUGUUCUUCAAUGGCUGGUUUGUAUACACCAUUCAUUUUCUCUAGUACUGAAAGUGUUGUGAUGAACCUCUGAUGGAGUUUGAAUACCAAAAAGAUAUUGUAGAACACAUCAUGACUUGCGGUUUUGUGUUAUUAAUUUAACUUUUUUUGUUAUAUUGAGUGUCAAUGAAGAAUUCUAAGUUCUAUUCUACAUUAUUUUGUUUAGAAUUUUCCUGUAGUGAUAUAUAUUGCAUCUCUGCCUUAGCGCUUUAUCCUAUAAAAAUGUUUUGAUGUGAAUAUAACUAUUAUCAUUUCUGGUUUAUUGCAAAGCUAGUCGAAAGGAGUGUGCAUCUUUCAUGGUUGGUUUGCCUGUUUCCUUCAGAUAUGAGUACCUCAUGGCCGAGACAAUAUUCUCUCAGGUACUACUUGUGAAUUUGCAAUAAAUAUCUCACCUCUUUUAUAACAAUAUAGUAUAAAGCUUAAGCAAUUAGCAUUAUUGAGACCUGAGCAAGAUGUUUCUAGACGUCACUUGAGAAAAAUAAAUAGAAUAUAUUUUAGAAAGCAUGUUCUAGUCCCUCUCAGGUUCAAAUAUUUAUACAUAAACUGUUGAUUAAUCUGCAGAAAAAGAAGUAGAAAACAAGUAAAGGCACCUCUAGGACCCUGGGUAUAGAUAGGUACAACUUUUUAAUAAAGCCUAUUCUGACAAAGCUGAAGAACAAUAUUAUUUUCCACUGACAUGUUAAGUAACUUUUAUUGUCGAUUGAAUGUUAAGCAAAUUCAGUGAUAUGGGAAAAAGAAAAAGAAGCUCAUCUCUUAACAUUUGAUGUCAUAUUCAGCCUGUGAAUGUUGUAUGUUCCAAUUUCUAUGUUUUGUUCUCUCAUAAAACACUAGAUUGAAGACAAUUGAAGGGUUGUUUGGUUGGUGCAGUAAACUUCAUCUGCUCAUUUUCAUAAAAUUUCAACUCUUGAAGGAGUUGUUUAAUCCACACAAACAUGGUUAUCAAACUUGCCAGUUAACUCGUUAACUCGUCUGAGUUUACAUUCCCAAUCAUGGUUGCCGAGUUAACUCGGUACCAAACUCGUUUUUGGACUCAACUUAGUAGAAUCGGACAUGCACUCGGUGGAAUCUUUUGGAAUCGUGAUUGCACAACGAUUUAGAGAGUUCGAAAAAAAGGCAAAAACGAAGAAAAGAGGGAUCGUUUUGUUUAGGGUUUAAAACUUGAUUAAUGUUCUUUUCUUUUUUUUUCACUCCACCGUUGAUCUUCGUUGCUCGUGGUCAAGUUUCGCUCUAUUUGAUCGUCAUUCGUGGUCGUGCUUGGUCCGGUUGCCGAUUGUGGGCGUCAUCGCUCGUUCAGUCGCUGUGCGUGGUUUCCUUUCGUCCCCGUCGCUGUUCACCUGGUUUGUGAUCACUGUCACAGUGGCCGCUGUCGUCACUGCCAUCCUCACCACCUUCCUCGCUUUGCAGCUUCUGGUCUGCCCUUCUUCUUUGAGCCGCAAGUGGUGUUGGGUGAAGUUUUGUUAUUCUAAAAGUAUAAACCGUGCCACUGUAUGAUUUUAUUAGGAAAUGAAAUUUUUAUUCUUUUAUUACAGAAACGUAAUAUACUUAUGUUUUUAUUUUUAUGUAAAUGGUUUUUUAUUGAAAUUGAAAUUUAUAUUGUUUUAUUAAAUUUUUUUACUUUAGUAUAUAAAUGAUUUAUUAAAAAAUUAUAUUCUCAUAGUUUUAUUAGAGGAAUGAAAGCUUUUGUUUUUGUUUUUUCAAAUCCUAAGUCUUGCCAUUCUUUUAGUGAAAAAAUUUAAAACAUAUCAAAUUCAAUGGAAACUAAUGCAAGUGUAUCUUCAUUCCAUACAUUUGGAGACAACGAUGUCCAACAUUCAUGAGAGGAAGACUUGGAUGAAGAUAAUGACAAAGAUAAUGAUGCCAUUAUUAGAAGAUUAGAGGAAUAGACAUAAAGACUUUGACAUUUCUAUUUAUGUUUAGAAUAUUUCUAUGAAUUUAUGUAUUUCAAUUAAUAUAUUUGUAUGAAAAAUAUUUCUAUGAACUUAUAUUUUUUUUUCAUACAAAAGUAAACUCUUACGAGUUUACGAGUUGAGUUUACUGGACUCUCACGAGUUUACGUAAACUCUCGAGUUUGACAACCUUGCACACAAGUUCACAUGUAGUUGGAGCCAUAGAUCGAUAUUAUGCAUCUGCACUAGAUCGAGUAACAACAUUAUGUUUUUUACUUUUCCAAGAUACAAGGUUCCCUCCAAGUAAUACACAAUAUCCUAUGGUACAUCUUCUGUCAAUUGGACAACCGGUCCAAUCUGCAUCACAAUAUCCUUCUCCUCAAGUACUUCCCUUGUUCAAAUAUAACAAUCCGUGUCCUAGGUUCCCUUUUACAUAUUUGAGAAUGCAAAUCACAACAUUCCAAUGAUCAACAUGUGGAUUUUGCAUAAAUUGGCUCACAACUCCCUUCGGAUAAGAAAAAUUAGGUCUUGUUAUGGUAAGAUAGAUGUGUUUUGCUAUCAACCUUUUGUAUCUCUUUGUGUCAAGAAAGACUAGGUCUUGUUAUGGUAAGAUAGAUGAGUUUUCUAACCAACCUUUUGUAUUUGUCUGGGUCAGAGAAAAGCUCACCUUGGUCUAUCAUUAACUUUUGAUUUGAGUCCAUAGGGCUAUCAAUGAACUUGCAAUUUGUCAGGCCUGUUUCUUCCAAAAUAUCAAAAGCAUAUUUUCUAUGUGAAAUGAGGACACCUUCUUUUGAUUGUGCCACUUCAAUACUAAGAAAAUAUUCUUUAAUGGAGCAAUUCUAGUGACAUCAUUUCCUGUAAUAACAAUAUCAUCAUCAUCAUAAACUAUAAGAUAAAUACAUUUGUUUGGAGAAUAAUGACCAUAAACACUGAAUGAUCUGCCUCACAACGUUUCAAUCCAAAAUUUUACACAACUUGACUAAAUUUACCAAACCAAGCUCAAGGUGAUUGCUUCAAGCCAUAGAGUAAACAAUGUGAUUUACAAACUAACUCAAACUCCUCCUGAGCAAUAAACCCAAGAGGUUGCUCCAUGUAUAUCUUCUAUUCGAGAUCAGCGUGAAGAAAGGCAUUCUUAAUGUUCAAUUAGUAAAGGGCCUAUUGAUGAAUGACAGUCAUAGCAAGAAAAAGACAAACAUUUCUGUUUGAGAAAAAGUAUCACAAUAGUCGAAGUCAUAAACCUAAGUACAUCCCUUAGCUAUUAGACGAGCUUUGAGACUAUCUAUUGCAUCAAUAGGACCAACCUCAAUACAAUAGACCCAUCUACAACCCACAUGCUUCUUACCAGGAGGAAGAUGGACAAGUUCCCAAGUGUCUGCAGGAUGACAAAGUGCGUCAUGAACAUUAUUAGGAACCUUAAUGGUAGAUAAGGAGGAAACAAAGGAGAAAUAUGGAGGAGACACACAAUGUUAAUUUAAAAAUACUUGUAUUAAGUAAACCAGUGUAUUUUUUUUUUCUUAUUCCACUCUUACAAUUUACUGCUGUAUUUAUACAAAAGGUUAGGCACCUCCUAAAACCCUAACCUAAGAGUUGGGUUCCCAUACAUAAUAAUAGUAAUAUAGAAACAUUACAUUUCAACAAUUCUAAUAAUAUAUGUGAUGGCAAAUGAUAGAUAUAUCUUGGGGUGUCAACAUAGCUGAUAUGUCAAGGAGCAUAGUGAUGUCUACCAUGAGUUUCAUAAAGAAAAAGAUCUUGAGCCGUACAAGAUAUCUUACAACCUCUUGUGAAACCCUAUUUCUAGAAAACCUCAUGACAACCCCAUUCAAGAACAAUACACCUCAAAGAAAGAAAUCUUUUAUAGAAGAAAAUUAACUAUAAGAUAAACUUUUCAACACAUUCAUUAUCAAAUCCAAGUGCAUCAGAUCAAUUCAAUCAAGAUUGCUUGCAUCUUCAAUCUCAAACAGUGACAAAUGUAUCAUUUAUGUAGGCUUUUUUGUCAUAUAUUUAAUCUAACAUUCUACGAAGUGCAGUAUUGAUAACCAUUGAUUUAAACUCAAUGGUUUUGAAUGUUCUAAAUUUCAUGCAAGUGGAUAGCAACUUGGGAUUUUUAAGAACUGGAAAAUGUUACAGUGAAUCCACCUACUAUUUUUAUUUGCAAGUGUUUGUUUAAUGAAAUUGUCUUAUUCUUUUUCAUUAUUUUUGUAAAUAACAAGCUACGUAAAUUAAAUACACUGAAAUGUUUAAUUUUCUAAUUUGAUGUAACUGACAUUUGUGAAUCUGUACUUUUAAUUAGUGGCUUCUUAUAUUGGCUGAUUUGUGUAACGUGAUGUCUAUUUCUGUUGCAGCUGCUGAUGCUACCUCAACCACCUUUCAGACCAGUAUAUUACACACUUAUAAUUAUUGACCUUUGCAAGGUAUUGUGUUUCAGUCACUGGGGAAUUAUUGUUGCUUCAAAACAAUACAGAUUUGAAAUUUAAGCUCAUGUUUAAUGCUUUUGUAUACAUGUGGCUACCAAUAGGCUCUUCCUGGAGCUUUUCCUGCUGUUGUUGCUGGAGCAGUUCGUACUCUCUUUGAGAGGAUAGCUGAUUUGGACAUGGAAUGUCGAACACGUCUAAUCCUUUGGUUCUCCCACCAUUUGUAUGUUCAAAAUUUUAGUAAAUUCUUUUUGACAUGCAUUACUUAAGAUAAUUCGUACGUGGUUGUGCUGCUUGAUAUGUUGUCUGUCCAACUUUACCUUUUUUUUCAUUUAUUUCACUUUGUAGAUAGAAAAAUAAAAAACCACGGGUAACCUUGUGUGGCGUCUAGGCACUAGAGUUGAACGAUAUAUUAUUCAUGAAUUAGACACGAAAUUUCUCUGGUGUGGUUAUAUUCAAUGGUGAGAAAAUCAUUGAAGUGAAACUGUUGUUUUUGGGUCACAUUUCUUAACACUUUAAAGCAAACUUUAUAUUUCCCAAAUUAUAAACGAUUUAAUGGAUGUAUUUACNAUCCUUCUGAUCAUGACUAAGUUACUAAUUUAUAUAGGACAACUGUGCAAUACUCACUUUAUCAACUGCAAAUUAUCAGUUAAGUGUUAGAUAUUUUGUGCACACCCAAGCCCUACCAACCUUUCUUAAAUGUUAGCCAUUGAUACUACCAUUCAACUACAUGGCCCAAAUAAAUGGAUAAAAUUUAAUUGCCAAUUACCAUUAAUUGAUUGCUAAUGGGUGACCAAACAUAAUUAAUAACAUAAUAUAUUAUUUUUAUCAUGCAAUUAUAUUUUCUAUUUUAGUUUGAUAAUAUCUGGUGUUGCCUCUGUUCCUGGUCUGGUCUGGUCUUUUACUCCUAGUGAAUAUUUUCGAAUAGAAGGUAACUGUAAAAAAGUGAAGUAUUGGUUGACGUAUGUUGGAAGUCCCACAUCGACUAGAGAUGAGGCCAUUUAAGUGUAUAUAAGUGGGUGCAAACCUCACCCUACAAGCCGGUUUUGUGGGGUUGAGUUAGGCUUAAAGUCCACUUCUAACAACGUAUAUCUAGUUUAGGAAUGAUCAGCUACUCAAUUGGCUGAAGUGAAUAUGUUGUUACUUCUUAACCACUUUUUAAAAGUCAUAAACUGGUUCAUUGUUUAAUCCUCUGUCCUGCCAAAGUUCAAAGUUCAACUAACAGAAAAGGUGGAAACUCAAGCUGCAUUUCUGACAUCUGUAGCCUCUGAUCCUGGCUACAAUAUUUCCCUGAAUUUCCUUUUAAUGGAAUGCUGGAAUUGGCAUGUUAAAGGAUUGAUCUAAUAGAAGGUUAUAAUGACUUCAAAUAAAGAUUGCAGUGUCAUUUAUGACUCUGCAAUGUGGGAGUUAUUUUGGUCAAAAGGAAACGGAGUCUUGUCUCUCUAAGCAUAGUAGUGAAUGAUUCCAACUAGUAAGGAUUAAAGAAUUUGAGAAAGUGACUUGGUGAUAUUGAUGAGGCAGUUGAUGUUUAUGAUGAAGUUGGUGUUAGCCUUAAAUUGUGGUUUUAACUGGUUCUCCGAUUGUGGUCUAAUUUGUUACUGGAAACAGUGGUGUGAUGUUUGAUAAUUAUGCGUAAAGUUGUUGGAUGAGUGUAUUAAACAAUUAGAUGCUCAUUUAUAGCUCUCACAAUUUGGUGCGUUGUGAUGAUAAACUGAUAAUUUGUUUCAAUCAUCACUUUCAGAUGAAUGUUAGUAGUUGAAAGCACAUUCUGUGUUUGUGUCCUAAGUCGUGUAUUAAGUGUUUUCAUAUUCAAUUUGGUUUAUGGUCUAUAUUAUGCAGAUCAAACUUCCAGUUUAUCUGGCCAUGGGAAGAGUGGGCUUAUGUCCUAGACCUCCCAAAGUGGGCUCCACAACGUGUCUUUGUCCAAGAGGUUUUGGAGAGGGAAGUUCGCUUGUCAUACUGGGACAAAGUUAAGCAGGUAAUUUAUCAAAGCUAGAACCACAGUAAAUUUUACAUUUGUUGCACAUUGCCUUAUGAUGAGACAAUUAGACUGCAUUGCCACUCAUGAUCUUUUCAUGGUUAUGGACCAUAUAGGGAAAUCAUAAAAGGGUUAGAUAUUUUGUUUCUGUUUUUGUUAUGUAGAGGAAUGUAUGCUUUGUUAAAUAGAAGGAUUUUUUAUUUUUCAGUUUUCUUGUGAGGUAACUCACUCCAGGAUCAUGUCAGGGGAAUUUUGGUGGAAUCUUCUUAGAUAACUUGAACAGAGAAAAAAGAGGGAAAAUUGAAUAAGAACAUAAUAUUUUUAUUUACUGUUUUCACACAUUGUAUGUUAUGUACAAUAGUUAUUUAUGGACACAAAUGUCUAAGAAGCUGUUAUAAACUGACAGCUGUACAGAGAAAAAAAUAUAAAAUGAAAGAAACCUACCGCUGAACAGGUUUGACUAAUUAUACAAGUUGACCAUAGUUGACUAUAGUAUAUACACUAACAGCCCUCCUCAAACUCAAGGAGAAGACUUUUUUAGAUGCAAAAGUCUUCACAUUGAGGUUGCUGCGAAGAAGCACCAACCAAGUGUUGGACAAUGAAUAUGAUAAAUUAAGAGUUGCUUUGCCAAAAUAUUUUCUCGUACAAAGAAGACAUCAAUCUCCAUAUGUUUAGAUCGAUUGUGAAAAAACAGGAUUAUUAAGAAUAGCCACUGCACUUUGCUUAUCACAAAGAAGAACUGGAGUAUGGAAAGAAACUUGCAACUCUGUUAGUAGUUUGGAAAUCCAUGACAAUUCUGCUGCUGUUUCAGCUAGACUUUAUUGAAAUGUACAACAACUUGUUUUCUAGACCUCCAAUUAGGACCAUGAAAAAUGACUGCCCCUGAAAUAGAUCUUCGAUCAUCUAUAUUUGAUACCCAGUCAACGUCACAACAGGUUUUUGAGCAUAAAGAGCAGUUAAGUGAUGCAGGUUGAAAAUUCUCAAGUUUAGAAUAGAUACUCUCUCUUAUGAUAUUCUGAGGUUACUAACCUCUAUAUUUAUACACAAGUCAUCAACAUAUUAUGGGCUGCUAAAUCUGCUGGACAAAUCCCUAUAAUUAUGGGAUCAAUCAAACAUAAAUAACCUAAUAAAGGCAGCAUUCAACAGUUACAGAAAUACAACAUAUUUAAAUAAAAAACUUCCUAAACUACUCCAUGCCAAUUAAUACCACGCCAAUCACGGUUUUGACACUCCUUCUCAAGCUGGUGAAUAGGUGUUUUCCAUUCCCAGCUUGGAGACAAUUCCUUCAAAGUUUAUGCAGUUCAGUCCCUUGGUGAGUAUAUCUGCAAGUUGGUUCUGUGUAGAUACAUAUGGUGUGCAAAUCAUGCCACUAUCUAGUUUUUCCAUUAUAAAGUGUCUAUCAACUUCAAUAUGUUUAGUUGUACCAUGCUGUACCGGGUUAUGAACUAUGCUAAUUGCAGAUUUAUUGUCACAAUAUAGCCUCAUAGGUUCAUCCCACUUUAUCUUCAAGUCUUCCAAUAUAAUUUUCAGCCAUAGAAGUUCACAUAUUCCGUGGGCCAUUGCUCGAAAUUCUGCUUCAGCACUUGAUCUAGCCACUACACUCUGUUUUUUACUCUUCCAAGUCACCAAGUUUCCACCAAGGAAGGUACAAUAUCCUGUGGUUGAUCUCCUAUCUACCACUGACCCAACAUAGUCUGCAUCCGUAUAUGCUUCAAGGCAUAAAUUCUUGUUCCGUUUGAACAAAAUCCCUCUUCCGGCGGUCCCUUUCAAGUAUUGUACAAUUCUAAGAGGAGCUUGUAGAUGUGUUUCCUUUGGUUGGUGCAUAAACUGGCUAACUAGACUUACAGCAAAUGCAAUGUCUGGUCUAGUGUGAGAUAAGUAAAUAAGCCUGCCCACAAGUCUUUGAUACAUUUCCUUGUCCACAGCAAUAUGCUCCAUACUUCCCAAUUUUAUAUUUGGAUCAACUGGAGUACUUGCUGGUUUGCAGCCUGUCUUCCCUGUUUCUCUAACAAGUCGGUAAUAUAUUUUUGUUGAGAUAUGAAGAUUCCUUUCUUGGAAUGGGCCACUUCAAUUCUCAAAAAAUAUUUAAGCCUUCCCAGUGUCUUGAUCUCAAAUUUCGUGGCAAGACAUUUGCUUAAUACUUGUUCGCUUUUGUCGUCCCCACUCACUAUAAUAUCAUCUACAUACACUAAUAGAAUUGUUACUUCCCUUGAAGCUGAAUGUUUGAUAAAUAAUGUGUGAUCCCCUUGGCUCUGUUUGUAGCCUAGACCUGUCAUAACUUUGGUAAAUCUUCCAAACCAUGCUCUUGGGGAUUGUUUCAACCCAUAUAGAGCCUUUCUUAAUUUGUAAACAGUUCCAGCAGCAACCUGUUCCUUGUAACCCGGGGGCAACUCCAUGUAUAUUUCUUCUUCAAGGUCUUCAUGUAGAAAUGCAUUCUUCACAUCAAACUGCUGUAGAUCCCAACCAUUAUUUGUUGCUAGUGACAAUAAUACUCUGACCGUGUUCAUCUUAGCAACCGGGGCAAAUGUCUCCAAGUAAUCAACUCCAUAGGUUUGAGUGAAGCCUUUGGCCACCAACCUUGCCUUGUAACGUUCGAUUGUCCCAUCAAUCCUAUACUUUAUUGUAUAUACCCACUUACAUCCCACUGGUUUUUUUCCAGAAGGUAGGGUGACAAGUUCCCAGGUCCUAUUCUUGUUUAAUGCCUCCAUUUCCACAUCCAUGGCAUUUUUCCAUUUCCUGUUAGACAAUGCUUCAGAUACAGAGGAAGGUGUGUGUGUGGAGUUGAGGUUAGUGAGAAAGGUUUUAUGGGUAGGUGAGAAUUUUUCAAAGGAUAAGAAAUUUNAUAGUGGGUAAAGUGGCUUUUGGGUGCAAGCUCNAGUUCCUUUUCUAAGGGCAAUGGGUAGGUCAAGGGUUUGGUCCACCUAUGCUUCUAGAUUAUCAGAAACAAACUCAUUAGAAUCAUUGGAAUUUAUAGGAUUUGAAGGUGUUACNUCAUGUAGUGCUGGUGGGUUGGAUUCUUGGACAUUGCCAGAUUCUAGAAUGGCCUUUUCUCUUCUUGAGUAUACCUUUCCAAAUUUGUCGCCAUCAUCAGGUGCAGGUCUUGCGGAUUGAGUAGGUUGAAUUCUUUCCUCAAUUUCAAGGACAACAGGUUGAAUUCUUUCCUCAAUUUCAGGGACACCAAUGCCGCCACCAUUUGUCCCAGUUUCAGGCCCAAACGUCGUAUUUGGGGACAUGAGAGUCUCAUCUUCCUCUCUUAUAUUCUCCCCUUGAAGAUGAGGCUGUUUGAAGUAGCUCUCUUGUUCGUUGAAGGUGACAUCUCUUAACACAUAGAAUCUUUUUGAAAGGGGUUGAAAACAUUUGUACCCUUUUUGUGUGGUAGAGUACCCUAAGAAAACACAUUUGACAGCUCUCGGAUCCAAUUUCCCCCUUUCAUUACUAUGAACAUGUACAAAGGACACACACCUAAACAUUCUAGGUUGGAGUUUAUUUGUAGGGUCUAGGUGUGGGUAGAAUGAGGAUAGAACUUCCAUGGGACUUCUUGAGUUUAAAACUUUAGUGGGUAAUCUAUUGAUUGGAUAGCUGGCGGUAAGGAGAUCUUCCCCCCAAAAUCUUUUAGGAACAUGAUUUUGAAAAAGUAGAGCUCUAGUUUGAUCUAAAGUUUAGAAUAGAAUCUCUCUCUUAUGAUAUUCUGAGGUUACUAACCUCUAUAUUUAUACACAAGUCAGCAGCAUAUUAUGGGCUGCUAAAUCUACUGGACAAAUCCCUAUAAUUAUGGGAUCAAUCAAACAUAAAUAACCUAAUAAAGGCAGCCUUCAACAGUUACGGAAAUACAGCAUAUUUAAAUAAAAAUCUUCCUAAACUACUCCAUGCCAAUUAAUACCACGCCAAUCACGGUUUUCACAAAAAUGCAAGCCAUUAAAUAUUGUAUCCUUAAGAUACCUCAGUAUACAUCUUAGGUACCCAGGUUUGCAACCUAACAAGAACACACUCAAAAGAUAGGAAGAGGAAUGGAAGAAUUGUUUUCUCAUAGCUUCUGUUUCCCUAUCCUAAUCACUCAUCUCUGUUUUUUGGCUUUGUAUUUAUAUUUUAUCCGAAAGAAACAACUUUAAUUGACUAAAACAGAUUAUUUUUUUAAUCAACCUUUAUUUAGUGAAAAACUUGUGUUAUGUGGCUGUUUAUCACUCCUACAUUUUAUUGAAUGACAUGCUUAAGAAUUCAGUUCUAACUUGAUUUAUUAUGUGAUUGAGAGGUUAUUUUCAUUAUCUGUUAUGAUUUUGCAUUUUUUUGUAGGAUCUUAUGCUUCGUGUUGUGAAACUAUGGUUUAUGAUAUUUUAUUCCCAUCCUACUAAUCUUAUCUAAAGUUUUGAUAUUGACUACAUUGGAUGCUUUUCUAUUAGCAGCAGAAUUAAUUGAAAGGUAUUUUUUUAUAUAGUUGGCAUAUUGAUGUUUUUAUGGUAUAUUUUCAUGAUAUUUUGUAGAGUAUUGAAAAUGCACCUCGUUUGGAAGAAUUGCUUCCUCCUAAAAGCGGGCCAAAUUUUAGUUUUGGUUCAGAAGAUGGUAAAGAAAGCAAUGAGCAUGGACUGUCUGGAAAGCUCAACAGUAUGGUUAAAGGGAAGUCACCUGUCCGUGAAAUAAUCUCUUGGAUUGAUGAAAGUGUGCUUCCAAAUAAUGGUCUAGAAGUUACCCUCAGAGUGAUUGUACAAACACUUCUCAAUAUUGGAUCCAAGAGUUUCACUCAUUUGAUAACUGUCUUGGAGAGAUAUGCACAAGUCUUUGUGAAAGUAUGUCCGGANGAGGAUNGACAAGUCAUGCUGAUAGCUGAAGUGAGUUCUUUCUGGAAGAGUAACACCCAAAUGACAGCAAUAGCUAUUGACAGGAUGAUGGGUUAUCGACUUGUAUCAAAUCUGGCUAUUGUGAGAUGGGUCUUCUCAGCAGAAAAUAUUGAGCAAUUUCAUACAUCGGAUCGGCCAUGGGAGGUACAUAAUUGAGGUUUUUACGGAUAGAUUGUUGUUAACUCUUUCCUCCUCGGCUAUAGGUCUAAGGGGUCAGAAACCAUCUGCCUUUUGCUUUUUAUUGUAUUUGAUGUGAUCUGCUUUUUAAUUUUUAAAUUUAAGUGCUCAAAAUUUACACCCUUUUUGUUUUUUGUUUGAUUGGCAUGGAUUAUGAAUUUUAGCAUGUAUGGAAUUUUCAGUUGAUCAUCAUGAUAAUUACUUUUGCUUUCAUAUAGUAAUUCGACCCUGAUUUCUAUUGAACAGAUUCUGAGAAAUGCAGUAAGCAAGACACAUAAUCGUAUUUCUGAUUUACGGAAAGAAAUAUUAACUAUUAAAAAGAACAUUUCAUCUGCCGAAGAAGCUGCCAAGGAGGCAAAAGCUGAGCUAGAUGCUGCAGAGUCAAAACUUACACUUGUGGAUGGUGAACCAGUUCUUGGUGACAAUCCUGUUAGAUUGAAUAGAUUGAAAUCACAUGCUGAAAAGACAACGGAGGACGUGGUGACUGUUAAAGAAUCCUUAGAAUCUAAGGAAGCUCUUCUUGUCCGAGCAAUUGAGGAAAAUGAGGUAAUUGAUGGAAAAUUUGUUAAGUUAAUUGUUUGCAUAAAGUUUUUUGUAUCAAACAUGUUUACAAUGUCUGGGAAUGGUUACAUUUUUGUUACAGCCAGAGAUAACUUUUCAUGUAUUUGAAAAAAAAUAGAUUUGCCAAUAGUGAGUUUCUAAGAAAAUUUUCAUUGCAUUGUUGGUUAUUGGCAUAUACAGGCAUUAUUUCUCUUGUUGUACAAAAGCUUCUCAAAUGUGUUGACAGAGCGGCUUCCUGAAGGAACUAGAACACUGCAUGAGUUGAAGUCUGUGCAAGUAGAUGUGAUGGCAGUGGACGCUGAAGAGCCACCAACAAUGGAAUUAGAUGACGAAAACCAGAGAUCUCAAAACAGGUUCUCGUGCCUGUCCUUCUGAGCUAGAUUAAUAAUUAAGAAAAGUUAAUGUUUCUCUGGCUUUGUACGCAUGUGCAUAUUACUAUUGCUUUUUAAUGUCUUCUACAGUCAGUCAAAUGGAGAGAAGAAAGGUGGUGCUUAUGUUGUAGGUGAAAAGGAGCAGUGGUGUAUCACCACUUUGGGCUAUGUGAAGGCUUUUUCUAGGCAGUAUGCUGCUGAGGUAUUGUUCCAUUCCCUGUUUGCAUUUAUCUUGGCUUUUAAGGGAAUGCCUUGUAAACAAAACUUAGCAUAUACAAAAUCUUUUACCUGUUCCUCCAGGGUUAGAUUGCUCUAUAUUUGUUUACCUCUAAAAACUUGUAUUAAAUUGUUGGUUGCAGAUAUGGCCCCAUGUUGAAAAGUUGGAUGCAGAGGUAUUGACAGAAGAAACACCUUAUCUUUUUAGGUCAGCUGUUUAUACUGGUCUUCGAAGACCAAUUCACGAGGCAUGAUCAAUUUGUUACUUCACCUCUGAGCUAUGUUAUUUAGAAUAUAAUGUAAUUCCAUUCUUUAGUCUGCUAGUUAAGCAUUUUCUUAGUCUGCUAAAAGCCUAAAACUGUAUGCAAUUGUAAUUUAAAAAUGACAAGGUUGGUAUGACGAGUCUCUACAUCUUAGAUUCUAACAGGGACUUUAUCACCGCUGCUGUACAUUAGAUUUCGAUUAUAGCUUUUAAUUGGACCUCAAAUACCCAAAAAAAAAAUGGAGUUUGCACCAUACUUGUGUUGUACUUGGUAGUAAAAUGAAAAUUGAAUUGUGAUUAUUUGCAUUAAAAUGUGCUUUUUUAAUAGGCCUAUGAUGCCUCGUUUGGAGGAGAAGUAAAAUCUUAUAUACCCUCAGGAAAAAAAAGAAGCUUAAAGAGAAUAAGUAGAUUCAAAAUACUAGACUUGAUGUUAGCCAAAAGUAAUUUGAUUAAAUUAUAUACAUUAUUUGACUGCUUCAUAAGUUGAGUUUGAUAUAAAUGUAUAAUUUGACAAAACAUCAAUUUUUUCAGAUUGGUGAUUAGAAACACCGCAUUGAGUAGUGAUAUGAUGAAAAUAGUGUAUGUAAUUUAAGGAUGAGUUCGUUUUCUAAAGUUGAGUUUGGUUUAAACCACCUAGAGUCCGCACCUUCACUUGUACAAAUGCAAGAUGGCUCAGUUAUAAAAAGAUUUUAGAUGAUUUUUCUCUAAAUACAGAAGCUUACUUACAGGAACCAGAUUUAAAGAAGAAAUUUGUAUCUACCAUCUAUUCAUGUGAAUUGAAAUAUUAUGUGGUAUGAACACUGGGUCAACACCAAAAGUAGAUGAUGCACUGGGUCACAGAAUUAUUCGUAGCCCGUAGAAAAUUUUGUUCCAUGUAUUUGACGUACUUAAGAAGGUCUUUGGAAUUAACAAGUUUUACAAUGUAAUUAUUUUAUAAAAAAAAUGUAUUUUGACAUCCACUUUUUCUCUGACCAUCAUUUGACUGCUUUUUAUUUAUAAAGUAUUAUAUUUAAUAAAUAUAAAUAAAUAAUAAUAUUUAAGAGUGUUAUAAUAAAAACACAGGGAUCCUUAUUUUAUUCCCAAAUUUAAGAUGGUUACAAAAAUUAUAUCUUCCCGUGAAACUGAACCCAUACUCUUAUAUGUCUUUAACUUUUAAUUUGACAUCUCCGUACCAUGCCCCAUGGACCCUAAUUUCCAAACGGCACUCCAUCUCUUCCGGUCCAAUAAAAAAUAUAAGAAUUAAUUCUUCUGAUAGAUUUCAUUUUGGUGAAAGUGUGUAAGUUGGUUCUUCAUUUUAAAAAAGUUUUAAUUAUGUCUUAAUUUUUUUUUUUAAAAAUAAUUAACAGACAUAAUUUAUUCUGAAUUUUUAUCAAAAUAAAACAACAUUAUCUAUUUUUAAAUUUAAAUAAAUUAUUAUUUAUAUAAAUAUUAUAUUAACAUUUUUAUUAAAAAUAAUUUUUAGCAUAUUAUAUUAUAUUGUCAAUGUCACGUAUCAUACCGUGAAUUUAACACGUGACAAUUUUUUAUUAAAAAAUUAAAAAUAUUAAGAAAUUAAAAAACUGAAAAAUAACAAUUAAUAAGAGUUAAAUUGAAAUUUGGCAUGUAAUACUAUGAUCAGUGUCACGUGUUCCAAUAGGAUUUGACAUGUGACAAUAAAAGCCUUAUAAAAAAAAUCACAUAUUGAUUCAUGAUAUGUUAACGUUAUUAGUAAUUUAUUUUAAAAAUAACAUAAUUUAGACAUUUUUUUAAAAGUUAAUAUGCAAUGGAAAUUUGUUUUAAAAAUGGGACCAAAUAAUUAAGUCUAAAUAUAAAUAUAUUGAAUAGCAUGAUUCAUUCUUUAAAUUAUUUUAUUUUUUUAAUAUUUGGUUUAGAUGAAAAGACAUUCAUGACAUGUUAACAAAUUUCAUUAAUUCAAAAAUAUUAACAUUAACAUUGCUUAUUGGAGUUUCUUGUGUCAAAAUUUCAAUCAAUGUUAUUAAAGUGUCCCGAACUCACAUGGAUAAAAAAAAAUUAGUAAUUGUUGGUAAUUUUUUUUUCAAUUAAUAACAAAAAAUGUCUUAAGAAAUUAUUGAUGAAGAAUAAUUUGUGUAAUUGAUAUAAAAUUAAUCGACAAAUAAUAAUAAUAAUAAUAAUAAUAAUAAUAAUAAUAAUAAUAAUAAUAAUAAUAAUAAUAAUAGGUAUUAGUAAAAAAAAUCUAGUUUAUACUUUUAAGAUAGUUUCCUUGAAGUGAGAGAAAAUCCUAAUUAAGGUUGAGUAAGAAAUUUCAAUGGUAUAUAUAAAAAACAUAAAUCAAGAAAUAAUUUUAAUAAUAUCAAUGAUAGAGGACCAUCUUGAGGAAAUAUUGGACCACUCACAUAAGCUAUGACAAAGAGGAUGGAAGAGGGAGAUGAAGCUCUAAGGACUCUACUUUUGUGGAGAUCAAUUAUUAGCCUUUUAUUUUCUCUUAAACACUUUUGUAAAUAUGUAAUAUAACUUCAUUUUAUAUCUUGUAUAUGGCCAAGAACCUUGUUUAGUAGUGAUUAGGACCUUGGCGCAAUCAGAAGUGGAUUAAUGCCUCAUUUAAGGUCUUAAGCCUUAAUCAACGCCUAAAUGGGCUUCAAUAGGCCUUCAAGAAGCUUUGGACUUGGAAGAAAGAAGCCUUGGCCGGUCACAUCAAGGGUAGGCGCCUAUGCAUUGUAUUUGGAUGAAAGUUAGGAGUUAGUUGGAAGGGAAGGCUCCCACUCAUCCCCCUUGCCAAAGAAGCUUCUAGGCUAUUUCUUAAGUGCAUGCACUUUAGGUCUUCCUUCAACUAUAAAAGGAAAAGCACUCCUCUUGUAAUCCUUAUAACUUGAAUGAUAUUAGAGAAACUUUACCAAAAUUGCAAGCCUCUCUUCCUAAGUUCUCAUUGCAAUAGUGUCUUUUAAAGGCUUCUUCUUCCUUUUCCUUCAUGUUGAGACAAGACAAGCUCGUCUACUAAGUAUAAAGGAAAGGUGUCCACACAACAAGUCUAACACAAUAAAUAGGAAAUACAAAUGACUAGGAAUUAAAGGUCCAGUAAGAAGCAUCUAUAAAUGACUUCCAUUGGGAAUACAAACAUUAGAUGAGCCUCACCAAAAAAUGGUCAAACUAAUUUCAGGCAUAGUCGGAAAUCAAAAGAAUUGAAAAAGAUAUAAGAAUUCUAUGCAACACUAAACGACUUCCAAAGUUAAAAGUCUAAUGACCGAGGAAACUCAUAUAAAAACACUUAGGCUCGGCCUAGACGCAACAUUAAACGAUUCUAAAAAGGUUAAAGCGUCUAUAAGAGAAGUCCUACUAAACGCAGAAAGCUUACAGUACCAAACGAUAAUUAAUAAAAACUCUCAAUUAGACAAAAGUGUGAAGACAAAGUUUUUGGUAAGCUAUUUGAAAGUCAUAAUCAAUAGUCCAAAAACUUGUAAAGGACAACUCGUUAAAUGCUUCUUCUAAAGAAAGCAGAAUCCUAAAAGUGUUUACAAUAGAUUAGUCGAUAAUAUCCUCUCAGUAUGUCAUAGCUUGAUAAAAAGUGUCCAACAAUGAAGGCAUGACUAGAAAGUCUUAAACAAUGUUACAGAAAGCAUUGUGCCAAACGUAUGGGCUAGAGAAACCUACAUGGUUUAACUAAGCUGGACGAAUUCCCACGAUAAAAUGAUGAGUUUGGAAAAUACAUCAAAAGAACAAAACUUUUUCCAAAACACAUAAUAAAAGGCAUUCAACUAAACACAAUCUUAAAAAUAACAAGUAGCUACCAAACAAAAACUAAUUAAAGAAAAAGUCUCUUCUAGGAUAAAAGAUACGACAUGCCAAACACAUUUUCAUUCAAUGAUAAAACUCUCGUGAAACAUCUUGUAUUCUCAUUAGAUAACUGAAACAGUUAAAUCUUAACCAAAACAUAAAAUCCCUGACUAUUCUGGACAAACAUUAAAUGUUAUUAAAUGCUCAAUGUUUAAAAGCAAGAAGAUAGAUAAGAAAAAAGAUAUAUAUACUAUAAAAACAUAUAUUCUACGCUAUGCAGGUUAUCUACUACAAACAUUUACCUACAAGUCAGAAAUGAACGUUAGAAAGAAGAAAAAGAUAGGUGGAAUGUUUCGUUCAUCAAAAGUCGUGCCACAUGAAUAAUCUAAUAUGUUUUUUGUUAAUGUUCUGAAAAACAAGUCUCCUAUGACAUCAAGACAUCAAUCUAUGACUGUCAUCUGUGCUACGAAGAGUCAAAGCACAUGGACAAGCUUCAUCCAAUAGUCAUAUUAUCAACAAGUUUCAAGACAAGCAUCAUUUAACGACUAUAUCAUCAAAGGUGUAUAAAUAGAGGAUCGAAAAAGAAGAAAGACAGAUGAUGAAAAAAAAUGGAGUGUAAAGAAAAAUUAGCAUCAAGGAAGAGCCAGGAAGUCUCUCUGAGCUACUAAAGUCAAACCAUUUUACUCAAGAGAAAAGAGAAAAAGAGAAGAUUUAAAGAAAAGGAAACACUCUCAGUCUUCAGGGUUAUAAGCUUACUUUUGUAAGGAGAGAAAGAGAAAAGAGAGAGAUAUAGUGAAACACUAAGAAAUACUCUCAAGUUUCAUUGUAGUAUUAGAUAGUAUUGUAAUGAAUAUAUAUCCUUUAUGUGAGAGUAAUCGUCUAACGAUUUGUAGGCAAUCAAUUUGAUUGCACAUUCUGAAGAGAAUUAAAACACUGAUUAAGUAACUCAUAAGAGUUAAGGAUUAUUAGGCAGCGUAUCGGCGGAUACCGGGAUUGUCUAGUGGAAAUCAAGAGUGGGUAAAACUCAACUAGUCAGGAUGAUCAAUGUUAUUCGUUGACUAGGGAUACCAGAGUGAUGAAGAAUGCUGCUCAACCAGGAGUGGGUGAAACUUAGUCGAGGUCAUAGUAACAUGUGGUUAUUGGGUUGACAAGGACAACUAAGAGUGAGUUAAACUUAGCUAGGCAACAUAUCAAGGGAUACUAGGAUUGUCUAGGGAUACCAAGAGUGGUGAAGAAUAUUGCACAAGUAGGAGUGGGUGAAACUUAAUCAAGGUAAUAAUAACAGGUGGUUAUUGGGUUGACAGUGACAACCAUGAGUGGGUUAAACUCAACUAAGUAAUGUAUCAGGGGAUACCAGGAUUGUCUAGGGAUACCAAGAGUGGUGAAGAAUACUGCACAACCAAAAAUGGGUGAAACUCAGUUAAGGUCACAGUAACAGGUGGCUACUAGUGUACGAGGGCAACCAAGAGUGGGUUAAACUCAAAUAGAUAGUGUAUCAGUUUGAUACCAGGAUCGUCUAGGGAUACUGGGAGUGAUGAAGAAUAUUGCACAACCAGGAGUGAGUGAAACUCAACUAGACGGUGUAUCAGAUUGAUACUAGAAGCGUUUAGGGAUAUCGGGACUGGUUAGAAUACUCAAAUGUACUUUGUUGAAUAUUUAAUGAAACUGUCUAAGUUAUAUUAGAGGACAAUUGGACGUAGUAUCAGAUUGAUACUAGGAGCGUCUAGGGAUAUGAAGUUUUUGGACAUGAAUCCAGAAGAUUUCAUCUCGCAUAGGUUUAGAACCUCGACGUAUGAAGAAACAUGCAUUCCAAUCAUUUUCCCUCUCAAUGGACCUCAUAUAUGGCAAAGGACCUCAUAUCCUGAUAUUUUGCCUCCACCAAAACGGGGUGUUUCCAGGAAGACCAAGAAAAAAAAGAAGGCUGAAGAGUUGGGAGCAAAAGAAGGAUGAUACACAACUUGGACAAAAAGGAAUCCCUAAGAGAUGUUCCAUGUGUAGAGAACUUGGGCAUAGAAGAACUAAUUUCCCACAAGCAACUCAACAACAACACCAGUAGGGUACAUCACACUUCACUCAAGCAAGUCAACAACAAGAGGAAGAACUUACACCACACCCCACUCAAGGAAGUCAGAUUACUCAAGAACCCCAGACUGAUCAAAUUAUAACACCACUUUAGAUUGUUCAACUUUCAAACAUUAAGUACAUCUUUGUUGUAUUUUGGAUAUGUACUUUGAUUUUAAAUAGUGUCGCUUUCUGUCAUGUAUUUUGCACUUAAUUUUGGAUGAUAUGUGACUGUAUUUUGGAUUAUAUAUGAAGUACUUUGGAUGAUAUGUGAAUGUAUUGUGAUAGUCACAUUAAUUUGGCUUCUAGGAUUUCAAACUUAUUUAUAUUAAUUGUAUUGUCAUAGCCAUAUUAAUUUGGCAUCCCUGAUUUCACAGUUGAUUAUAUUUAGUGUAUUGAUUAUAUUUAGUGUAUUGUGAUAACCAUAUUAAUUUGGCAUUCCUAAUUUCACAGUUGAUUAUAUUUAAUGUAUUGUGAUAGCCAUAUUAAUUUGAAGUAACAAACACUUGAAGUAAUGAAAAUUACACUUCUCCAUUGAGUAAAAUGUCAUUACAAGCAUAAUCUCAUUACAACCAGUUUCUCAUUCAUUAGGUAACAAACAAACAUUACAAUUUAACUAACUUCUUCAUUACAAUUUAACUAACAUAGACAUACAAAGAUGAUAUUAAUCAACCCCAUUGUGAACACCCAAUUUCGUCCGGGUGACUAAAAUACACUUUUUCUCAUUCUAUCUUAUUUUAAGUCUUUUUAUCAUUUUUAUUUUUAUUUUCUUUUUAGUAUUUUAUUUUAUUCUACUUUUCCUUUCAUAAUUUUCAUUUUUAAUUUUUGUCUUUACUUUUUACUUUUUAGUCUUGUUUUCACAUAAUUAAUAUAAUUAAGAAAAGAAAAAAAAACAAGAGGAAAGGAAAAAGGGUUGAAACGUUUUUUCUUUAAUAUGAUUUAUUUAAAAAAAAAAGAAAAAAAAAGAAAAUGAAAAAAAAGGUACAAGCAGUACCAUGAUCAGGCGCACACACUCUCCUUUUCUCGACACACCUCUGCUCCGCGCAACCUGUAACCACCCCCCGACAAACAUUACCCACACCACGCUCUACAUCCUCUCGAGUUUUGCUGACUCUUUUCCCAAUUUUUCACUCACUCCUGAGGAGGAGAUUUCUUCCGAUUCAUCUCUCUGAGAGAACACAUUUCACCUUCUUCAUUCUUCCUUUCCCUCUCCUUCAACUCGACACUUUCCAAACUUGACACCAGGGCCAAACUUCCUUCCUCAACUCCACUCCUUCAAUACCUUCUCCUUUGCACCUAACCACCAUAAUCAUCUUCAAGUCCUCCUACACUACAGGACUCUCCAUUCUCACCAUCAAUUAUUGACUGACAUACAACUAGAAUUCCUCCAUUCACUCAUCAAAUAUCACCUUCACCAUCACAUUAACCUACGCCCAACCACUAGCUCUGGAGGCCUCUCACCCAAUUCUCGACCAUCUUCUGCAACUGCCAUUCACUUACAACAGAGAAGAAAAAAGUAAAGCUAGCAACAAAAAAGGAAUCCAUUUGAAGCAUAGGAAACUGACGAUAGCAAACGAAGCUCCAAGAGGUAAGUAUCACCUUGCUCAUUAGUGUUCUCAUGCUCUAAUCUAGUAGGCUUGCUGCAUUGUAUACAUCGUUUCAUGUUUAUUGUUGCUCUGCUUAAGUAUGGUUGCUGUGCUGUUUUCCCCUUUCUCCAUCACCACCUUCGAUUGAGUUUGACAAACCAUCAUAAAAUAAAUAGAAAAAAAAUUACCAAAUAAUCAUAAAACCCAAGCCCCCCAAUUUGGUUACGGCUGUUCACUCCCAAUCAUCAACAGAGGAGUUGAAUCCUCUGCGUCAGGUGAAACCAACAACUAAUUGAAAAACUACACUCUUGAGGGUUUAUGCAAAUUUUGUUUGGGCACAAUAAAUGGUUUCCUUACUGCCCAUGAUGCUAGCUUAUUUGGAGCACUUCGCUCACGGAAAGGAUGCGAGGUCGAGGCAAGACGACAAGGUUGUCAGCUUCUCCAGAGCGCUUGAACUUCAAGCCUGUGCUGAUGAAUUGGGCUACAACGGAAUCGCCAGUAAAGGUCUCGGCGGCGUUAAGUCCGUGAAACACUUGGCCAUGAUCGGGCCUUCUUCGGUUGUCGGCGUGGCCAGAGCGAUGAAAGCCGCCGUGGGGUUCCAAAGUCUAACGGUGGCAGCGCAGAGGAACGAGCACUCGGUGGCCAAGCUCGCCCAGGAGGCGAUUCACGAAGGAGAGAACUAUCUCUCUCGCGCGCGAAGAAGCGAGGAGAAGGGAAGCUUGGAGCUGCGGCCGGCAAUGCCGCCGGCGGUGAACGACGGUGAUGGCAGCGCCUUGGAAGGCGGCUCGCGGCGACUGAUACGGUGGCGGCUGGCUCGGCGGAGGCAGCAGCGCCCUCACGCAGGGAGACAAACCCCAACCCUGGGCUGUGCGAAAGAACGAGACUUUGAGUCUCUGGUGUGUUUGAGUGUAGUGAUUGAGAAAUGGGGAGGAAUGAGAGAACCCCUAAAGAGGAUUGUGAGCUUGAGAGUGAGGGUUUCAGGGCCCAGCUUUCUGGGCGGUAUUCUAUCUGCAGCCCCAUUCACAGCUUUUGUUUUUUAUUUUCUCCCCUAAGAGCAUUGAGCCUGGGCCUAAACCAAAAAAAAAAAGAACGGAAAAGACAUCUCAUUUGCACCCCCUGUUUUUGCUAAGUCGCGCCCCUUCUCUUUGGGCUCAGGCCCAUCCGGUUUUAUAUAAAAAGAAGUAGUAAAAAAACCUUUUCUCCUUCUUUCAGAAAAUAUCAAAAAACGUUUUAAAGGUUUAAACACAUGUGUGAUCGUUCGCAUUGUCCUUGUGCUAAAAAAUCUUUUCUCUUUCUUACAUAAAAAUACCAAAAAUAUAAAACAUCCAUAUUUUCAAACAAAAACAAUCUUUCAGCUAGAACUACGUAACCCUCAUUUCUCAGUCUGACUGAGAAUACGUAGGAGCAAGGUCAGCCAUGGUUGGGCACAAAACAUAAAAAAAAAUAUAUUUUUUCUCUUUUGAUUUUUACUUUUUAGGGGAAAUUAAACAUUUCGAAAACCACAUCCUAGUUGUGUAUAAUUAAAGGUACUGCCUUCGGGCAGAUGUGGUAGGGUGCUAAUACAUUCCCUACACGUAACCGACUGCCGAACACAAAAUAUGGUUUUCAUGGACCUUGCCUUGUCAUUUUACCGUUUUUUCAUAGUUUUCCAGAAUAAACUAUGGUGGCGACUCCAAAACUUUUUCAAACUCAUUUUUAUUUUUGGAUCGUCUUCCCGUCGCGAUUUCGGUUGUGACACCCAUCAAACAUAACAUCCAGAUUAAGACCUUCUCCCUUUUUUGACAAACCAAAACUUAUUUUUCCAAGUUAAUAAUCUUUCUCCCUUGCCAUCCAAUUCUAGUAUCCCUUUCAUCUACAUUAUCUUCAGUGCGCCAUUUGAAGAAAUUACGUCCUCGCACUUUUUCAUUUCGAUUCUGCUGUACAAAACAUCGAACCAAAAACAUCUCAUGAAAACCAAAAUAAUUAUAUCCCAAAAUAAAAAGACAACGAAGGAAACAAACCUUGUAAUUAGGGCAGCCUCAAAAAGGCUUGCCCUCGUUCUUAGCAGUUUUUGAGACUCUUAAUACGGCAAGCUCUCCUCAAUAGCAUAUUUGGCUGCCAACCAUUCCUCUUGAGCAAGACGAACAAUGACUCAUUGACAUUGCCUCAUCGUGACACAAUAAUGCUUCGUCACCACAAACAAAACAACCCCAAACACUAAAAAUUAACCACAAACAAAGAAGACAACAACGUUAGGGUACCCACGUCACACGAAGGAAACAACGAAGGGCACCCUACCUUAGCUCAGUUCCUUCACCUCAGAAGAAAACAACAAUACUUCCUCAAGUUAGGGCACCCACCUCACACGAAGGGAACAACGAAGGGAACCCCACCUUAACUGACCUCCUUCACCUUAGCUCCUUCACCUAAGGUCCUUCGAGAUCAAUGUCUGAAGGCAAGCAUUUAAGCCUUUAAUCUAUUGUAAUGAAAUGAUUUUUUCAUACCUGUCUUUGCUAUAAAAUUUCCUUUUGCCACGACAAAUAAGUUAUUUGCCACAUCAUUUAACAUUUAACGCCGUUUCAACAAACUUAACAAAUAUGACUAAAUUGAUAUAAAUGUCAAAACAUAGGGAUCAAAUGUCUACUUUUUAAAACCGGGUGCUAAACUGAAAAUUCUCUCCUAACUCGAGGACCAAAGUAAGCAUUUAAGCCUAUAAUUUUUUAUUUUUAAAAGAAUUCUUUCCUUUUUCUAAGAAAAUUGUAAAAGAAAAUAUAAAAAAUUAUUACUAUUAUAUAAUUUGUUUAAUUCUUCUUUAAGUUGGGUGUGUUUUUAAAUCUUUACGUUGUUAUGUAAGAUUAACUUAUUAUAGUUCUAAGUCGUUUAUAGUGUAUCCGGUAAUUGUUGGAGGAAGUAGUUCUAGUAAGGAAACUCAUUGUGUAGCUAUGUUCUUUUAUGUUGUGUUUACUUGCAUAGAUAUUUCUGUUCAAACAUAUUUGUGAAGAUAGAAUUACGAGAUAUGUUAUGUUCGUUUUCAUUGAUUUGGAAGGAUUGAAGAGCAAUGAUUUGAAAGAUAAUUGAAAAUUUCAAUCUUCUCAUUUUAUGCAAAUUUGAAACGAUUUGCAAUGAAAUCUCUAUUUUACCCCUAUACAAUAAUUACAGAAAAGAGAGAACUGAAUACAUUGUCUUCCAUGCAUAAAACUAUAUUCGCUUCCGAAGUAUAAAAUCUAAUAAAGAUGUUAUAGAUAAAAAAAGUUUUCUUUUUGGAAAUCUUAAUUUAGUUAACCAUUUAAAUAUUUAUCUAUGCACAAUUUUUUUCUUUAAAAAUGUCUUAGUUUAAUUUUUUUUUCUGUGAUAAUUCUUGUCUUAUUACUUUAAAUGUUUUUGAAUUUGAAGCUUUAUUAGACAAUGUAGUAAAUUUUAUAAAAUUAACAUGAUUAAAUAAUACAAACGUAUAUAUUAUAUGAUGGUGGUUUAUGUGGGUGAAGUAUUUUUGUAAAUAUCUUUUGUUUUGGUGAAGUUUAAAAAAAUAAUUUCACUUUACUUAAUUUUUUUUAUUAAUAUUUUUUGUUUUCAAUAUUUAAAAUUCAUUUUAUCAAUAAAUAUAUUAUUAAUGAAUAUAUUAUUAAUAUAUAAAAUUUUAUAUUACUUUUAUUACUAAAGAUAUUUUAAUAAUCUAUAAUUUCUAUUAAUUAAAUCAUUUUUUUUAUGUCAUAUGAUCAAAUUCUAUAUUAAUUCUCACAAAAUCCAUUCUUAAUUCUCUCUAAAUUCACUCAAAUAAAUAAUAAAAAAUUUAUUCUCAAAUUCCUUCAAAUCAAUCCACUCACUCUCCUCAAAAUAAACACACUCUUAGUUUUUAAUAAAUUUCUAAUUUUAUUCCGAUCAACUUUUAUAAUAACUUUCUUCUUCUAAUCAAUAAAAUGAUAGUAUUUGGGUGUUUAUAUGAUUUUCAUUCUAUCGAACAGGAAAGUUAUGACAAUGUUUCUUACAUCAAAGUAAAUUUGCACCGAAUUUAAUAAAAUUUCCUCACACUAGUAUUCUAUUAUGCAUGUUUAUACACUACAAAUCUUUGUUGACUUUCUACUUUUAGGAGUAUUUAUUGGAUAUACACUUCACUUCAUCCUCAAUGCAUUUGUAUGGUUAAAACUCUUUUCAACUCCAAAAUGGAAUGCUACACUCAUUUAAUACUUUUUAGUAACAAGUUUCUAAGAAAACAUGUCACAAUAAUUAAUGAAUGUUAUUCUAAAUAUGAUAUAUAAAAUACCGUCACAAUUUUUUUUUAAAAUAAUAUAACUGCAGAUGAACCUAACUUGUUCUAGAGAACAUUUUUUAAAAAUGUUAUUUAAAGUGUAACACUUUUUAAAAAAAUACUUUGGUGGUUUGGUUAUUAAUCACGCUUUAUUAUAUAUCAAUUUUAUAUUAUUAUGUAUAAAUUUUAUUAUAUAGCAAACAUAUUAAUAUUAAUAUAUUUCACUAUUACAUAGAGAAAUGGUAAAAAUAUCCAUGUCUGACAUAGGUAUAUAAAAUUCAUGAUAAAUAAUUAACAUUUAUGAGUUUUUAUUAUUUGUAACGUAUAAUAGAUAUUUUAUUUGUAUAAUAAAUAUUCACUAUUUGAAAAAAUAAAAAUAAAAUUUUAAUUUAUAUUUUAUUAAAUUUAAUUUAAUUAAAAUUAAAAUUAUUUUAUAUUAAAUCAUAUUAAAUUUAAUUUUGAUUUAUAUUUAAUUUAAUUUAUAUUAUAUUUUAGAUUUAAUUACUUUUUGGUCUCCAUAUUUAGAAUUUUGUUCCUGUUUUUAAAAAUAUCUCUAUUACCUUCUAAUAAUAUGUAUGAUUACAUCAAUCAAAUGCUUUGUGUUAAAUGGGUAUAAACUAAAAAUAAAUAUAUUUUUUUUUCUCAAUCUUCUAUUCUCCUUUUUGUCCCGCCAUCUUUCAUUAAUUAUCUUCCUACUUCAGUUUGUUUAUAACUUACAACCUAUUUAAGUUGUUUCUAUUACUAUUCUUUAUCUUUAAACACACUUUUUUUUUAUCAUUUUUAAUUUUGUUUUAAUUAUCAUAGUUUAUUAGAUUAAAUUAAGAAUUAAAUAGAAGUUUUAAGAAAAUCAAUACAAAUGCCAUUAUUUAAAAAACCUAAAUUAAUAAUUCUGCAAUAAGAUAAAAAAAAAUCAUUUGUAUAAUAAAAAUUAUAUAAUUAUUUUUAUAUAAUUUUACAUUUACAUACUAACUAUUUUUUUAGUUAAUAUUUAUAAGUUAGAAAUUUAUUAACAGAACAGUAAUUUAUCAACUAUUAAUUAACUUAUCAGUUAAUUUUAAAAAAUAUUUUUAUGCUAAAAACUAUCAUAAAAAAUCAUUCCAAUUAUGUACGAAAAAUUAAGAAAGAAAAUGAAGGCAUAAAAACCAAAAGAAAUGGAGAAAAAGUGAACANAAUAAAGAAAAAAUUAACGUAUUUAACUAUAUUAUAAAUAUUUUAAUGCAAAAUUUGCAUUUAUAUUAUAAAAUUAGUUGUCAUAAUUAAUUUAAUAAUAUUUAUCAAUUUUAUUAUUAUUUUUAAUCAUCUAUUAUUAUUAUUAUUAUAAUAUUUAUGUAUAUUUUGUAUCACAUAAUAUUGGAAUUAAUUUUUUUUAUUAACGAGUAAGUACUCUCUGUACUGUUAUCAUCCUUAGUUAUAUACAAUAUAUUUAUAUUAAUAUUUAAAAUUUAUUGAUAUUAUAUAUUUAAAUAAUAUUUAAUGUUUUAAAAUAUUAUCAUUUCAAUUUAACUUUUAAUUUAAACAGUGACCAGAAAAGUUUCUACCAGUGGAUUUGAUAGACAUUUGUUAAGUUUGAUUAAUUCUUUAAACUUAACUUAGUAUGGAUACCAGCCAUGUUCACAUUUCCCUAUUUUUUUUUUUAUUUGCAAAGACACAGACGCAGUGCAAUGCAAGUGAGGGUUUGUUCUCGUUUUCUCCUCUGUUUCUGUAAUACUGCUGCGAAGUUUGGUUGGCGUGGCAAAGGAUUCUACUGUUCAUCGAUUCAGUGUAUCUCAUCCUUUACCAAUUAAUCUUGUGCAGUUCAAUUUCCAUAUCACAGAUAUGCCUUGAAUUUGAUUUUGCACCUACUUUAAUUUCAAACCCUUCAUCUCAAUUAUGAGUUUCCGCUGAGAUUUCAUCACCCAUUAUGAAAUUCCUUAAAAUCUUCAAAUCCAAACCCUUCAAUCUUCGAACUUUCAAUUCCCUUCCCCUUCCCACAACCGUUUCACCAAUCACAGAAUCCGAACUUCUAAAUUCCAUAGAAUCUUCUCACUGGCAUUUCAUCAAACAGGUUGCGCCACACUACACUCCCUCUCUUCUCUCCUCAACUCUAACCUCCCUCCACCACAAACCCCAACUCGUCCUUCAGCUUCUAUCCCAUCUCAAAGGCCAUUCCCUCGACUUAACCACCUCUUCUCUUGCUGCUUGCAUCCUCUGUCGCCUCCCAUCUCCCAAAUCCUCUAUCAGCCUCUUACAGAGCCUCAUUAUAUCUUCCACUGCCACCAACAGAACAAUUUUCCAUGAGUUGGAACUUUCCCUCGACCGCUUGGAUGCCAAGACUAAUCUCAUCUUCGACCUUCUGGUAAGGACCUAUUGUGAACUCAAAAAGCCCAAUGAGGCCUUGGAGUGUUUCUACUUGAUGAAGGAAAAGGGCGUUGAGCCCAACAUUGAGACUUGUAAUCAAAUGUUGAGUCUGUUUUUGAGACUGAACAGGACUCAGAUGGCUUGGGUUUUGUAUGCUGAGAUGUUUAGGAUGAAGAUAAAAUGUAGUAUAUACACUUUCAACAUCAUGGUUAAUGUGUUAUGCAAAGAAGGAAAGUUGAAGAAGGCAAAGGAGUUUAUUCCGUACAUGGAGGCUCUUGGGGUAAAGCCUAAUGUUGUCACAUAUAAUACUGUUAUACAUGGACACUGUUUGAGAGGGAAGUUCCAAAUGGCCCGUGUGAUCUUUCAAACAAUGAAAGAUAAAGGUCUUGAGCCUGAUUGCUAUACGUAUAAUUCUUUCAUAUCUGGGUUGUGUAAAGAAGGAAGACUCGAGGAGGCAUCUGGUUUACUUUGUAAAAUGUUACAAUUUGGUUUGGUUCCAAAUGCNGUAACAUAUAAUGCGUUGAUUGAUGGUUAUUGUAACAAAGGGGAUCUGGAUAAGGCUUUCACAUAUAGGGAUGAGAUGAUAAGUAAAGGUGUAACGACAACUUUGUUUACAUACAAUUUGUUUAUCCAUGCACUAUUUAUGGAAGGAAGGAUGGGGGAAGCUGAUAAUAUGAUAAAAGAAAUGCGAGAAAAAGGCAUGAAGCCUGAUGCUGUUACAUAUAACAUAUUGAUUAAUGGGUAUUGUAGAUGCGGGGAUGCAAAGAGAGCCUUCAGUCUUCUUGAUGAAAUGGUGGGAAAAGGGAUUCGGCCAACUUUGGUCACGUAUACAUCACUUAUAUCUGUUCUGGGAAAAAGGAAUAGAAUGAAAGAAGCAGAUGCCUUGUUUAAUAAGGUUCAACAAGAAGGUCUGUUGGUAGAUACUGUAAUGUUUAACGCGUUGAUCGAUGGUCGCUGUGCAAAUGGUAAUAUUGAUAGUGCAUUUCAACUCUUGAAACAGAUGGAUAACAUGAAGGUUCAUCCUGAUGAAAUUACUUAUAACACCUUGAUGCAAGGAUAUUGCAGAGAGGGGAAAGUGGAAGAAGCUAGGAAACUUCUUGAUGAGAUGAAGAGAAGGGGGAUCAAACCUGAUCACAUUAGUUACAACACACUCAUUAGUGGUUACAGCAAAAGAGGUGAUAUGAAGGAUGCUUUUAGAGUUCGGGAUGAAAUGAUGACUACAGGAUUUGAUCCUACAAUUCUCACUUACAAUGCUCUUAUNCAAGGAUUGUGCAAAAAUCGGGAAGGUGAGCAUGCUGAAGAGCUCCUCAAAGAAAUGGUAAGUAAAGGCAUUACUCCUGACGACAGCACCUACCUAUCUAUAAUUGAGGCGAUGGAGAAAGUUGAUGACCUGGAGGAAAAUGUUGAUAAAUGAACUGAGAAGAAAAUAGUAUUUCAUGAGUUUGUGUGAACUUCUAGCAUUGGAGUUUGGACACAAGCAUAUCAGCAUUCCUUGUUCUACAAGCUGAAUCAAAUAUGUAUGAGUAACAAGUUAAAGAAGUUCUUGAAAAACUGUAGUUUUCCUCAGUCUACAUCUUUUGUAGGGAGAGUAUUACUUUUUACUUCAUUAGUUAUAUUAGUUUUGUACCAUAUGGUUUACAAAAUGUUUAUUGAUGAUUUUGUUUGAAAAAUGAAAAUAAUAGCUAAUGAUUGAGUUUGUCGGUCUUUGGUACAAAGUUAUUGAUAGAUACCUAAAGAAUUCCAAGACAGGUUCUUCGAUGAUCUUCCUAUGAAAAACCAAACAACUGGUCUGUAUCUAGUGACGGGUACACACAAAUCCCAAGUCUUUCAAGAGAACUUGUCUCUCCCUUCCUUUUACUUACAAUUUUCUCCAAAACUCUACUGAAAACUACCCCUAUACAGAUAUAUAAUUGUCUGUUUACAACAACCCACCUCACAUAAAGUUAUAACAAUUACCCUUAUUCCUUCUAACAUAUACUUUUACCCCUCCACGAAGAUUCACCUUAUCCUCAACGUGAAAGUCUAAAAAUUCUUUAUGAAUACAGGCAGCAGAUUCUUCUAACUCCUGAAUUUCCUUUUCUGAAAUAAGCAACAUAUAGGGCUGUUUAUUUUUGCAAGUAUGAUUAGGCUCAAACUUCUCAUCACACCUUAAGAAUAAAUCCUUUUUUAUCUUACCUUGCAAUUCUUUUAGGGACAAUUUUCUAAACGGUGCCCCUUUUUUUUCAUUUAUUUCACUUUGUAGAUAGAAAAAUAAAAAACCACGGGUAACCUUGUGUGGCGUCUAGACACUAGAGUUGAAAGAUAUAUUAUUCAUGAAUUAGACACGAAAUUUCUCUGGUGUGGUUAUAUUCAAUGGUGAGAAAAUCAUUGAAGUGAAACUGUUGCUUUUGGGUCACAUUUCUUAACACUUUAAAGCAAAGUUUAUAUUUCCCAAAUUAUAAACGAUUUAAUGGAUGUAUUUACUAUCCUUCUGAUCAUGACUAAGUUACUAAUUUAUAUAGGACAACUGUGCAAUACUCACUUUAUCAACUGCAAAUUAUCAGUUAAGUGUUAGAUAUUUUGUGCACACCCAAGCCCUACCAACCUUUCUUAAAUGUUAGCCAUUGAUACUACCAUUCAACUACAUGGCCCAAAUAAAUGGAUAAAAUUUAAUUGCCAAUUACCAUUAAUUGAUUGCUAAUGGGUGACCAAACAUAAUUAAUAACAGAAUAUAUUAUUUUUAUCAUGCAAUUAUAUUUUCUAUUUUAGUUUGAUAACAUCUGUGUUGCCUCUGUUCCUGGUCUGGUCUGGUCUUUUACUCCUAGUGAAUAUUUUCGAAGAGGUAACUGUAAAAAAGUGAAGUAUUGGUUGACGUAUAUCUAGUUUAGGAAUGAUCAGCUACUCAAUUGGCUGAAGUGAAUAUGUUGUUACUUCUUAACCACUUUUUAAAAGUCAUAAACUGGUUCAUUGUUUAAUCCCCUGUCCUGCCAAAGUUCAAAGUUCAACUAACAGAAAAGGUGGAAACUCAAGCUGCAUUUCUGACAUCUGUAGCCUCUGAUCCUGGCUACAAUAUUUCCCUGAAUUUCCUUUUAAUGGAAUGCUGGAAUUGGCAUGUUAAAGGAUUGAUCUAAUAGAAGGUUAUAAUGACUUCAAAUAAAGAUUGCAGUGUCAUUUAUGACUCUGCAAUGUGGGAGUUAUUUUGGUCAAAAGGAAACGGAUUCUUGUCUCUCUAAGCAUAGUAGUGAAUGAUUCCAACUAAUAAGGAUUAAAGAAUUUGAGAAAGUGACUUGGUGAUAUUGAUGAGGCAGUUGAUGUUUAUGAUGAAGUUAGUGUUAGCCUUAAAUUGUGGUUUUAACUGGUUCCCCGAUUGUGGUCUAAUUUGUUACUGGAAACAGUGGUGUGAUGUUUGAUAAUUAUGCGUAAAGUUGUUGGAUGAAUGUAUUAAACAAUUAGAUGCUCAUUUAUAGCUCUCACAAUUUGGUGCAUUGUGAUGAUAAACUGAUAAUUUGUUUCAAUCAUCACUUUCAGAUGAAUGUUAGUAGUUGAAAGCACAUUCUAUGUCUGUGUCCUAAGUUGUGUAUUAAGUGUUUUCAUAUUCAAUUUGGUUUAUGGUCUAUAUUAUGCAGAUCAAACUUCCAGUUUAUCUGGCCAUGGGAAGAGUGGGCUUAUGUCCUAGACCUCCCAAAGUGGGCUCCACAACGUGUCUUUGUCCAAGAGGUUUUGGAGAGGGAAGUUCGCUUGUCAUACUGGGACAAAGUUAAGCAGGUAAUUUAUCAAAGCUAGAACCACAGUAAAUUUUACAUUUGUUGCACAUUGCCUUAUGAUGAGACAAUUAGACUGCAUUUCCACUCAUGAUCUUUUCAUGGUUAUGGAUCAUAUAGGUAAAUCAUAAAAGGGUUAGAUAUUUUGUUUCUGUUUUUGUUAUGUAGAGGAAUGGAUGCUUUGUUAAAUAGAAGGAUUUUUUAUUUUUCAGUUUCCUUGUGAGGUAACUCACUCCAGGAUCAUGUCAGGGGAAUUGUGGUGGAAUCUUCUUAGAUAACUUGUAAAAAACUCACUGCAGCGGUAAGCCAACCUGAGUCUCUCCUUCUCUGUGACAUUUUGGGUGUCAAAAAACUUCUUUGCCUGGGAGAUCCAUCCCAAUAGGUCCAUCCCCUCAAACCUCGCCAAUUCUACCUGCUGCCUCCAAUUCUGUUCACCCUUGUCUUCCUCCAUCUCCUCUUCAUCUGAACCUUUUUUUUGCCCUUUCAUGACAGAUUCCUUACUUCUUCCUAAGCCCUUUAUGUGAAUCUUGAUUUCUUGUAGCAUUUCUCUAAUUUCUUGCAUAUUUCUUCUGUAUUCUGCCAUGUUCAUUUUCGAUUCUACCAUGCUCAUUUUCAAUUUUGCCAUGCUCAUUUUUUGUCUGCUGGUCCUCUUCUCCAAGGUAUUAUCUCUUCCUUCGAUGCCUCCACCCUGUCUUGAUCACUUCGUGAUCACUUCUUGAUCUGACAGCCCUCUCCUAAGGAGAUUCGACAGUCCUCUCUUGAUGAUCCAGUAGCUUCUUGAUCCUUCACCCCCACUUUAAUCCGGUAAGUCGGACCAAUUUGUUAGGUUCCUAGGUUUGGAACCUAACAAGAACACUAACAGUAGGUAGAAACAGUAAUGGGAGAAUGAGAUUUUCUAUUAUUCACAAUAAAAGAACUCUCUUCACGAAGAAUGGGUUGGGAGCAUAACCUCCCUGACUGAGAGCAUAACCUCUCUCUCUACAGGCUAAUGGCCUAACUUUACAAUGAAUUUACUCAAUAAUCCCCUGUACUGAAACCCUGCCUAUUUAUAAAGUUUCUCUUCUCCUUCCCACUAACUAACUAACUGUCAAAUAACCUAUCACCCUAUAUCCUAUCAAUACAUAACUAGUCUUUGGUCUAGUAAGAGUGGCAUACUAAAGAGUACUUAAGUGAUACAGGUUGAAAAUGCAAGCCAUUAAAUAUUGUAUCCUUAAGAUACCUCAGUAUACAUAACUAGUCUUUGGUCUAGUAAGAGUGGCAUACUAAAGAGUACCCAUAACUUAACGAUAUUGUUAAGAAGGGUAGUGUAUUUUAAACCUAAUUUAACCUCACAAAAUCAACUUAUAAGAUAAGAUUUGUAUCCACUUAUAUACAGUAAAUUGAUCUUAUCUCUAGUUGAUGUGAGACUUUCAACACACUCUCUCACAUUGAGGUAUAUACAUAUCAUAUGUGAAACUAGACAUUAAUAGGUUGUUAAAUAGUGGCGAUAGUUGGUGAAACAAUAGACCCAACAAAUAUCAAAUUUUGUCAGGAUAGACUCUAACCUACGACUAUGAUACCAUGUUAAGAAGUGAACUUUAAGCCUAAUUCAACUCCACAAAAUCAGCUUGUAAGAUGAGGUUUGCACCUACUUAUAUAAUAAAAAUUGACCUUAUCUUCCAGUCAAUAUGAGAUUUCCAAUAGAUACAAAGUAGGAUCAGAGAACAAAUCAGCUCCAUAUGUUUGGAUAACUUGCAGCUUGUUACCAUAGGGGAAGAAAUAGUAUGAGCAUUUGUGAUGAGUGACUUACAAAGCAAAUCUUGGAUGUACUUGGUUUGAGUCAUUAGAAUAGAUUUGUCAAGUAAGUAUUUAACUUCAGGACUGAGAAAAUAAUCAAGAUAUCCCAAUUGUUUUAAAGAGACAUUAUGUUUGGAUGUAAUGUCUAGAAUCAGUUCAGCAGAACACCAAUUAUUAUAAUAUCGUCCACAUAAACCAGAAAAUAAAUAAUUUGCAAAUGUUUUCUGUAAACAGAGAUGAAUUACAAAUGUUAUUGACGAAUCCAAUUUUUUGAAGAGUAGUUUACAACCUGUGAAACAAUUGACAACUUGCUUGUUUUAGCCCAUAGGAGGCUUUAUUCAACUUGCGAACAAGAAUUUGUCACUUGCAUUAUAGCCAGGCGGUUGAGUCAUAAAUUGUUCAUUCAAGAAAGCCAUUUAAAAUGCCAUUGUUAACAUCUGACUGAAAUAAUUUCCUUUUCCAACCAUAGGAUAUAACCAGAGUGACAAUAAUUUGAAUUGUUAUAGGUUUCAGCACCAGAGAAAAAGUCUCAUGAAAAUCAAACCUAUGUAUUUUGAUGAAAUCCUUUUGCCACUAGUCAUGCUUUAUAUUUAUUAACUGAGCUAUCGUCAUUUUGUUUGACAUGUAAGACACAUUUACACCCAACAUAUUGUCUAUCAAAGGUAAUGGAACUAAAUCUCUAGUAUUUUUUCUUCAUGAGAGCGUCAUAUUCUUGCUGCAUUGCAGCUAACCAAUUAGCAUCUUUAAUAGCUUGCUUAACAUUUGUAGGUUUUGAAUUAGAAAGAAGUGUGACGGAUGCACUCUGUGAGUAACAAUUUCAGAUUUGGAUCUUGUCUUCAUCGAAAGAGUAUUGACAGGAGUUACAACAUAAUGUAUUGACACCAUAUUAAUCAUCAGUAGGUGCAGUAAUAGACACAGACUCAGAACAAGAGGACUCUUUUGAGGAAUUGAUAGACUUACCAGUAGAGGAAGUGGUAGUGGACAAUCGGUGUGGUGUAAGAGUAGCAUUUAAAGUAAAAUACCGAUUGAGAUCUUUAGCAAUGUUAGGACUACGAGGAAAAAGCCAAGAAUAAGGAAAUUCUUGUCCAUUAAAUUGAACAUCCUUAGAAAUGUAAAUUUUUUCAGUAAGAGGACAGACACUUAUAGCCUUUAUGUGUUUAAGAAUAAUCCAAGAAAAUACAUUCCUCUUAUCUAAAAUCAAUCUUACGAGAGUGAUAAGGUUUUAAAAGAGGAAAACAUGUACAUCCAAAUAUUUUUAGAAAAGCAAAAUCAGGAUCUUUAUUAAAAAGAACAUAGUAAGGAACAACAGAAUUCAGAGAACCUGUAGGAAGUUUGUUAAUGAGAUAAACAGUUGUAGUGAAGGCAUAAUCCUAAAAUUUUGGUGGAAGAGAAGAUUUAUGCAGCAGAUGUUUCAAUAAAGAAAUAUUACUCUUCUUUCUCUUUUCAAUUCUGGGUUCCUAACAGAGAUGCUGAUAAUUGCCUUCUCUCAACCUGCUUUCUCUACACCCAUGCUUUGGUCUGCCAGGGCAGUGGAGCUUACAACUGAGGGGAAGUAGAUAGGUCAAAGAGCUGGCAGCAGAGGAGAGAAGCUUCUGUUCUCUCAUAGCUUGUUUCCCUAUCCUAAUCUCUCAUCUCUGUUUUUUGGCUUUGUAUUUAUAUUUUAUCCGAAAGAAACAACUUUAAUUGACUAAAACAGAUUAUUUUUUUUAAUCAACCUUUAUUUAGUGAAAAACUUGUGUUAUGUGGCUAUUUAUCACUCCUACAUUUUAUUGAAUGACAUGCUUAAGAAUUCAGUUCUAACUUAAUUUAUUAAGUGAUUGAGAGUUUAUUUUCAUUAUCUGUUAUGAUUUUGCAUUUUUUUGUAGGAUCUUAUGCUUCGUGUUGUGAAACUAUGGUUUAUGAUAUUUUAUUCCCGUCCUACUAAUCUUGUCUAAAGUUUUGAUAUUGACUACAUUGGAUGCUUUUCUAUUAGCAGCAGAAUUAAUUGAAAGGUAUUUUUUUUAUAUAGUUGGCAUAUUGAUGUUUUUAUGGUAUAUUUUCAUGAUAUUUUGUAGAGUAUUGAAAAUGCACCUCGUUUGGGAGAAUUGCUUCCUCCUAAAAGCGGGCCAAAUUUUAGUUUUGGUUCAGAAGAUGGUAAAGAAAGCAAUGAGCAUGGACUGUCUGGAAAGCUCAACAGUAUGGUUAAAGGGAAGUCACCUGUACGUGAAAUAAUCUCUUGGAUUGAUGAAAGUGUGCUUCCAAAUAAUGGUCUAGAAGUUACCCUCAGAGUGAUUGUACAAACACUUCUCAAUAUUGGAUCCAAGAGUUUCACUCAUUUGAUAACUGUCUUGGAGAGAUAUGCACAAGUCUUUGUGAAAGUAUGUCCGGACGAGGAUUGACAAGUCAUGCUGAUAGCUGAAGUGAGUUCUUUCUGGAAGAGUAACACCCAAAUGACAGCAAUAGCUAUUGACAGGAUGAUGGGUUAUCGACUUGUAUCAAAUCUGGCUAUUGUGAGAUGGGUCUUCUCAGCAGAAAAUAUUGAGCAAUUUCAUACAUCGGAUCGGCCAUGGGAGGUACAUAAUUGAGGUUUUUACGGAUAGAUUGUUGUUAACUCUUUCCUCCUCGGCUAUAGGUCUAAGGGGUCAGAAACCAUCUGCCUUUUGCUUUUUAUUGUAUUUGAUGCGAUCUGCUUUUUAAUUUUUAAAUUUAAGUGCUCAAAAUUUACAUCCUUUUUGUUUUUUGUUUGAUUGCCAUGGAUUAUGAAUUUUAGCAUGUAUGGAAUUUUCAGUUGAUCAUCAUGAUAAUUACUUUUGCUUUCAUAUAGUAAUUUGACCCUGAUUUCUAUUGAACAGAUUCUGAGAAAUGCAGUAAGCAAGACACAUAAUCGUAUUUCUGAUUUACGGAAAGAAAUAUUAACUAUUAAAAAGAACAUUUCAUCUGCCGAAGAAGCUGCCAAGGAGGCAAAAGCUGAGNUAGAUGCUGCAGAGUCAAAACUUACACUUGUGGAUGGUGAACCAGUUCUUGGUGACAAUCCUGUUAGAUUGAAUAGAUUGAAAUCACAUGCUGAAAAGACAACGGAGGACGUGGUGACUGUUAAAGAAUCCUUAGAAUCUAAGGAAGCUCUUCUUGUCCGAGCAAUUGAGGAAAAUGAGGUAAUUGAUGGAAAAUUUGUGAAGUUAAUUGUUUGCAUAAAGUUUUGUAUCAAACAUGUUUACAAUGUCUGGGAAUGGUUACAUUUUUGUUACAGCCAGAGAUAACUUUUCCAUGUAUUUGAAAAAAAAUAGAUUUGCCAAUAGUGAGUUUCUAAGAAAAUUUUCAUUGCAUUGUUGGUUAUUGGCAUAUACAGGCAUUAUUUCUCUUGUUGUACAAAAGCUUCUCAAAUGUGUUGACAGAGCGGCUUCCUGAAGGAACUAGAACACUGCAUGAGUUGAAGUCUGUGCAAGUAGAUGUGAUGGCAGUGGACGCUGAAGAGCCACCAACAAUGGAAUUAGAUGACGAAAACCAGAGAUCUCAAAACAGGUUCUCGUGCCUGUCCUUCUGAGCUAGAUUAAUAAUUAAGAAAAGUUAAUGUUUCUCUGGCUUUGUACGCAUGUGCAUAUUACUAUUGCUUUUUAAUGUCUUCUACAGUCAGUCAAAUGGAGAGAAGAAAGGUGGUGCUUAUGUUGUAGGUGAAAAGGAGCAGUGGUGUAUCACCACUUUGGGCUAUGUGAAGGCUUUUUCUAGGCAGUAUGCUGCUGAGGUAUUGUUCCAUUCCCUGUUUGCAUUUAUCUUGGCUUUUAAGGGAAUGCCUUGUAAACAAAACUUAGCAUAUACAAAAUCUUUUACCUGUUCCUCCAGGGUUAGAUUGCUCUAUAUUUGUUUACCUCUAAAAACUUGUAUUAAAUUGUUGGUUGCAGAUAUGGCCCCAUGUUGAAAAGUUGGAUGCAGAGGUAUUGACAGAAGAAACACCUUAUCUUUUUAGGUCAGCUGUUUAUACUGGUCUUCGAAGACCAAUUCACGAGGCAUGAUCAAUUUGUUACUUCACCUCUGAGCUAUGUUAUUUAGAAUAUAAUGUAAUUCCAUUCUUUAGUCUGCUAGUUAAGCAUUUUCUUAGUCUGCUAAAAGCCUAAAACUGUAUGCAAUUGUAAUUUAAAAAUGACAAGGUUGGUAUGACGAGUCUCUACAUCUUAGAUUCUAACAGGGACUUUAUCACCGCUGCUGUACAUUAGAUUUCGAUUAUAGCUUUUAAUUGGACCUCAAAUACCCAAAAAAAAAAUGGAGUUUGCACCAUACUUGUGUUGUACUUGGUAGUAAAAUGAAAAUUGAAUUGUGAUUAUUUGCAUUAAAAUGUGCUUUUUUAAUAGGCCUAUGAUGCCUCGUUUGGAGGAGAAGUAAAAUCUUAUAUACCCUCAGGAAAAAAAAGAAGCUUAAAGAGAAUAAGUAGAUUCAAAAUACUAGACUUGAUGUUAGCCAAAAGUAAUUUGAUUAAAUUAUAUACAUUAUUUGACUGCUUCAUAAGUUGAGUUUGAUAUAAAUGUAUAAUUUGACAAAACAUCAAUUUUUUCAGAUUGGUGAUUAGAAACACCGCAUUGAGUAGUGAUAUGAUGAAAAUAGUGUAUGUAAUUUAAGGAUGAGUUCGUUUUCUAAAGUUGAGUUUGGUUUAAACCACCUAGAGUCCGCACCUUCACUUGUACAAAUGCAAGAUGGCUCAGUUAUAAAAAGAUUUUAGAUGAUUUUUCUCUAAAUACAGAAGCUUACUUACAGGAACCAGAUUUAAAGAAGAAAUUUGUAUCUACCAUCUAUUCAUGUGAAUUGAAAUAUUAUGUGGUAUGAACACUGGGUCAACACCAAAAGUAGAUGAUGCACUGGGUCACAGAAUUAUUCGUAGCCCGUAGAAAAUUUUGUUCCAUGUAUUUGACGUACUUAAGAAGGUCUUUGGAAUUAACAAGUUUUACAAUGUAAUUAUUUUAUAAAAAAAAUGUAUUUUGACAUCCACUUUUUCUCUGACCAUCAUUUGACUGCUUUUUAUUUAUAAAGUAUUAUAUUUAAUAAAUAUAAAUAAAUAAUAAUAUUUAAGAGUGUUAUAAUAAAAACACAGGGAUCCUUAUUUUAUUCCCAAAUUUAAGAUGGUUACAAAAAUUAUAUCUUCCCGUGAAACUGAACCCAUACUCUUAUAUGUCUUUAACUUUUAAUUUGACAUCUCCGUACCAUGCCCCAUGGACCCUAAUUUCCAAACGGCACUCCAUCUCUUCCGGUCCAAUAAAAAAUAUAAGAAUUAAUUCUUCUGAUAGAUUUCAUUUUGGUGAAAGUGUGUAAGUUGGUUCUUCAUUUUAAAAAAGUUUUAAUUAUGUCUUAAUUUUUUUUUUUAAAAAUAAUUAACAGACAUAAUUUAUUCUGAAUUUUUAUCAAAAUAAAACAACAUUAUCUAUUUUUAAAUUUAAAUAAAUUAUUAUUUAUAUAAAUAUUAUAUUAACAUUUUUAUUAAAAAUAAUUUUUAGCAUAUUAUAUUAUAUUGUCAAUGUCACGUAUCAUACCGUGAAUUUAACACGUGACAAUUUUUUAUUAAAAAAUUAAAAAUAUUAAGAAAUUAAAAAACUGAAAAAUAACAAUUAAUAAGAGUUAAAUUGAAAUUUGGCAUGUAAUACUAUGAUCAGUGUCACGUGUUCCAAUAGGAUUUGACAUGUGACAAUAAAAGCCUUAUAAAAAAAAUCACAUAUUGAUUCAUGAUAUGUUAACGUUAUUAGUAAUUUAUUUUAAAAAUAACAUAAUUUAGACAUUUUUUUAAAAGUUAAUAUGCAAUGGAAAUUUGUUUUAAAAAUGGGACCAAAUAAUUAAGUCUAAAUAUAAAUAUAUUGAAUAGCAUGAUUCAUUCUUUAAAUUAUUUUAUUUUUUUAAUAUUUGGUUUAGAUGAAAAGACAUUCAUGACAUGUUAACAAAUUUCAUUAAUUCAAAAAUAUUAACAUUAACAUUGCUUAUUGGAGUUUCUUGUGUCAAAAUUUCAAUCAAUGUUAUUAAAGUGUCCCGAACUCACAUGGAUAAAAAAAAAUUAGUAAUUGUUGGUAAUUUUUUUUUCAAUUAAUAACAAAAAAUGUCUUAAGAAAUUAUUGAUGAAGAAUAAUUUGUGUAAUUGAUAUAAAAUUAAUCGACAAAUAAUAAUAAUAAUAAUAAUAAUAAUAAUAAUAAUAAUAAUAAUAAUAAUAAUAAUAAUAAUAGGUAUUAGUAAAAAAAAUCUAGUUUAUACUUUUAAGAUAGUUUCCUUGAAGUGAGAGAAAAUCCUAAUUAAGGUUGAGUAAGAAAUUUCAAUGGUAUAUAUAAAAAACAUAAAUCAAGAAAUAAUUUUAAUAAUAUCAAUGAUGGAGGAUCAUCUUGAGGACAUAUUGGACCACUCACAUAAGCUAUGACAAAGAGGAUGGAAGAGGGAGAUGAAGCUCCAAGGAGUCUACUUUUGUGGAGAUCAUUUAUUGGCCUCUUAUUUUCUCUUAAACACUUUUGUAAAUAUGUAAUAUAGCUUCAUUUUAUAUCUUGUAUUUGGCCAAGAACCUUGUUUAGUAGUGAUUAGGACCUUGGCGCAAUCAAAAGUGGAUUAAUGCCUCAUUUAAGGUCUUAAGCCUUAAUCAACGCCUAAAUGGGCUUCAAUAGGCCUUGAAGAAGCUUUGGACUUGGAAGAAAGAAGCCUUGGCCGGUCACAUCAAGGGUAGGCUCCUAUGCAUUGUAUUUGGACGAAAGUUAGGAGUUACUUGGAAGGGAAGGCUCUCACUCAUCCCCCUUACCAAAGAAGUUUCUAGGCUCUUUCUUAAGUGCAUCCACUUUAGCUCUCUCCUUCAACUAUAAAAGGAAAAGCACUCCUCCUGUAAUCCUUAUAACUUGAAUGAUAUUAGAGAAACUUUACCAAAAUUGCAAGCCUCUCUUCCUAAGUUCUCAUUGCAAUAGUCUCUUUUAAAGGCUUCUUUUUCCUUUUCCUUCAUGUUGAGACAAGACAAUCUCGUCUACAAUAUCUUUGCUUUUGAAGUUUAAACAAACAACAUUAAAUGAAGUAGUCUUGGAUAUAGUCUUAGAUUGUAAAAUAGUCUAAAUACUAAACAUUAUAAAGGAAUACUAAGUAUAAAUAAAAGGUGUCCACACAACAAGUCUAACACAAUAAAUAGGAAAUACAAAUGACUAGGAAUUAAAGGUCCAGUAAGAAGCAUCUAUAAACGAAUUUCGUAGGGAAUACAAACAUUAGAUGAGCCUCACCAAAAAAUGGUCAAACUAAUUCCAAGCAUAGUUGGAAAUCAAAAGAAUUGAAAAAGAUAUAAGAAUUCUAUGCAACACUAAACGACUUCCAAAGUUAAAAAUCUAAUGACCUAGGAAACUCAUAUAAAAACACUUAGGCUCAGCCUAGACACAACAUUAAACGAUUCUAAAAAGGUUAAAGCAUCUAUCAGAGAAGUCCUGCUAAACGCAGAAACCUUAUUGUACCAAACGAUAAUUAAUCAAAACUCUCAAAUAGACAAAAGUGUCAAGACAACGUUUUUGGUAAGCUAUUUGAAAGUCAUAAUCAAUAGUCCAAAAACUUGUAAAGGACAACUCGUUAAAUGCUUCUUCUAAAGAAAGCAGAAUCCUAAAAGUGUUUACAAUAGAUUAGUCGAUAAUAUCCUCUUAGUAUGUCGUAGCUUGACAAAAAGUGUCCAACGAUGAAGGCAUGACUAGAAAGUCUUACAAUGUAAUAGAAAGCAUCGUGCCAAACGUAUCGGCUAGAGAAACCUACAUGGUUUAACUAAGCUGGACGAACUCCCACGAUAAAAUGAUGAGUUUGGAAAACACAUCAAAAGAACAAAACUUGUUCCAAAACACAUAAUAAAAGACAUUCAACUAAACACAAUCUUAAAAAUAAUGAGUACCUACCAAACAAAAACUAACUAAAGAAAAAGUCUCUUAUAGGAUAAACGAUACGACAUGCCAAACACACUUUCAUUCAAUGAUAAAACUCUCGUGAAACAUCUAGUAUUCUCAUUAGAUAACUCAAACAGUAAAAUCUUAACCAAAACAUAAAAUCCUUGACUAUUCUAGACAAGCAUUAAAUGGUAUUAAAUGCUCAAUGCUUAAAAGCAAGAAGAUAGAUAAGAAAAAAGAUAUAUAUAUACUAUGAAAACAUCUAUUCUACGCUAUGCAGGUUAUCUACUACAAGCAUUCGCCUACAGGUCAGAAAUGAACGUUAGAAAGAAGAAAAAGAUAUAAGUGGAAUGUUUCGUUCAUCAAAAGUCAUGCCACAUGAACAAUCUAAUAUGCUUUUGAUAAAGUUAUGAAAAACAAGUUUCCUCUGACAACAAGACAUCAAUCUAUGACUGUCAUCUAUGCUACGAAGAGUCAAAGCACAAGGACAAGAUUCAUCCAAUAGUCAUAUUAUCAACAAGUUUCAAGACAAGCAUCACCUAAAGACUGUAUCAUCAAAGGUGUAUGAAUAGAGGAUCGGAAAAGAAGAAAGACAGAUGAUGAAAAAAAUAGAGUGUAAAGAAAAAUUAGCAUCAAGGAAGAGCCAGGAAGUCUCUCUAAGCUACUAAAGUCAAACCAUUCUACUCAAGAGAAAAGAGAAUAAAAGAAGAUUUGGGCAUAAUAGUACAUGAUGAAUCGAUAUUUUCUCCUAUUCAAUUAGCUUUUUGUACCAUAUUUAAUUAAGGAAAUGUGCUUAAAUGUCCAAUAUUUCCUCAAUUUUGCUAUUUGUGCUUAAUUUGACCAAUAAUUCUUUUUUUAAUUAAUGCGAGUUAUCUGGGGUUAAUUAUUUCUGUUAUUAUUUUUAGGAACAAUUUUAGGAUAAUAUUUUGGGACUCCGAGUGGCCUGUCACGUCAUUUUCGUUCAUCCACAUCAGCUUUAAAUUUCAUUUUCGUUUUUUAUUUGGUUCUUAGUGUAUGUUGGACCAGACUUACACAUUUGGGCCUAUUUUGGUCAAUUUACAAAAGGCCCGCUAAGGGGGACUGACCUAGGUUUUUGUGUCCAACAGCCACCACCCUUAGGUCUCUCUCCUUCAUUCUCUUAUUUUUCGUUUUUUAGGUUCUAGGCAGAGCUCUUAUGAGGUUUCAUUUUCGUUUAAUGUAUUGAACUCAUUUUUAUUGCAAUUCAAGAGUUGAUUUCACUUUUGCCCUUGGGUUUCUCCAUUUUCGUUUUUCUUUCCUUGCUUGUUGUUGCAUUUUCGUUUUGGGUUCGUCUUGUACUUUCGUUUUACAUUGUAGUUUCAAAUUCCAUUUGCAAUUUGGUUUCCAGUUUCAAUAUUUGUUUUCCCCAUUUUGUUUCUGAAUUGAUUUCUGUUUUCUGGUUCCAUUUAGUUUUCCAACUGCUACACUGAAUUCAUUUUGUUCUCUGCGUUUUAAUUGUGCAUCUGCGUUUUCAUUACCUCUGUUGAUGUUUAUAAUACUUUUUUUUUGUUGAAUUUGGUUGUAUUAGAAGCUUAAUUUUUUGGGUUGGUUAUUAGUGAGGUUGCUAGGUUUUCUUGAGGUUAUUAGAGCUUUAUUAUGAUUCUCUUAUUGCCAAUCUGCAUUGUGUUUAAUCUAUUGUGUAUAUUGCUUAUGUUAGAGCGGUGUAGCUGAAUGGUUAACGCGUUCAACAAACCAAGAGGGGGUGAAUUGGUUUCUUAUCGCAAAUCAUUCUUUUAAUAAUUUUCUCACAUAAAAAUAAAUUCCUUAAAAUAAUUUAAACAAAUUAAAAGAGUAAGGAAGAGAGAAAAUUACACAGAUAAUUUUUAUACUGGUUCGGAUCACAGACAUCCUACAUCCAGUUGUCAAUCUCAACCGAGAAUUAACACUUCACUAGCACAAACCAACAAAAUGUUACAAUCACAAAGAAAAUAAAAUAGUUUAAGGUUAGAAGACAUCUCUUGUUACCCCAAGAGAUGAAACUCACUUCCCCUGUGACCUACAAGGGAUGAACACCUCCUCUGAAUCUUCACAAAGGAUGAACACCUCCUCUGAAUGCUUCACAAAGGAUGACAGGCUUUCAACUCAGCAACAACACUCAAUCACACUCCCUGUGAAAGUUCUCGCUCUAUGCCAACACGCCAAGUUCUCAAAGCCACAACACAAGGGUUCAGCAAACCCCAAAGCACUUAUCACCUCACAUUACAGAUAAAAAUUUAGAAAAAUACACUUUGUAUAUUUCGUAGUAUGUUAGAAUGAGUCCCAAUAUAAUUUAUAGAGAUCUCACUCAAGGAUACCUCCAAAAAUCCAUUGUCAACUAAUUAAUUGUGAUAAUCAAUUAUCCACUUAUGGUAAUUGAUUAUGCAUUUAAUGAACGGUAAAAAAAUUGCUUAAAAUUUCUCAUAAUUGCUCGUAAUAAUCAAUUAUGACAAGUCAUAAUUAAUUACUGAUAAUAGAUUAUUAUAAUUUGAUAAUCAAUUAUCUUGAGUAUAAAAUGAGGUUUUCUAAUUUAGAAAUUAAUUUUAACGCAACCUGUGGCAAGCAAUACAUAGAAUCAAAGAUAAACCACACCCUAUACACCAGUUUACUAAAUUAAAAAAGCUUUAAUAUAAAAACAAGUCUUCAUGAAGAUCUUCCUGCAAUAAGAGCACUUGAGACUUGACUUUGAGACAUCAUCAAAAUUUCUUCUCUUUAGCUUUAUGCUAACAAUCUCCCACUUUUUGAUGAUGAUAAAAAAUAUUUUGAUUUAAAGCUUUUUGUAGCUUGUAAUUAUAUGUAACUCAUAUAUAACUAAAAGAAGA
rnacentral:lncRNA from 1 species